UUUUUUUUUUUUUUUUUGGGUAUUUAAAGAAGUGGGGAACUGGGGAUGAAGAUGAAUCCUAUAAAUGUUUAUGAGGUAGCAGCUGCAGGAUAGUCAUCAAAUGGGUUUCAAACCCAGGUCCAGGGAGCAUCCUGAAAUUAUUUAACAAAAUUGAUACAUAAAACUAUGCAUAUAGAUUCGUAAUGCAAUAUGUCAUUGUUCUUUUGUUAGUAGCAAACCAAAAACUUUAGCUUAUAUGGGUUAUGACUUGUGAGUCUAGCUCCAGAAAUGGAAAUUCUGUUACUGUUUAGUUUGUGUACAAGUUAUAGCCUUAUGUAUAGAAUGGAGGAUUUUGUGUUUUUCUUGGAUUUGCUGCAAAAACAUGACAAUAUCAUUUGGAUGGUGUAAUCAUGUAAUGGUAUUUAUGCCUUCUCUUUGUUUGUGAUUAGUUAAGGCAGAAGUUGUUUCUCCUUGGGUUCAUAUGGAAAGAGAGAGAAGCCACAACAACCCCUUGCAGUUGAUGUCUUUGAACUUUGGUGCGAGUAACACGCCACAAGAUGAUCAGAACCAAAAGAUGAUCAUGGGAACUGGAAGCAGUGAGAACCAAAAUGAUCCAUUUGCAGUACCUUGGAUGGUUCAGUCCUCAAUGCCGGCUCAAAAUUGUGUCAACUUUCUAGCAGAAAGUUCGGCAUAUCUGCCAAAAUCUCCUUAUGAAGACAUGCUGGAGAGGAUUUCAUUGUCUGUUAAUGGCAUACAUGCUGCUGAUGGUGGGGUAUCUGAAUUCCAAAGAGAUUUGUUAUAUGGCAGCAGUCUUGGAAAAGCUUCUGGUUCUAAAUCAAUUGAUUUCUCUAUGGACAUGGAUCCCUGGAAGGUAACAGUUUGCAUAUAUGUGAUAGCUUACUUGUCCUCUGGUCAUAUCUGUGGAUAAUCUGAAGUUCUUUAUUUUCCUAUGAUGCACUUCUGCAUUUAGAUCAAACUUCUCUGUCUUUUAAGGUUAUACUGGCCAUUCUUAAUAGCAAGCCAAAGAAUGAAAGCAUGUAUAGGAAUAGCCAUAGAGUAAUCUAGGAUACAUGCAACAUAAUUAAUUGGUGAUUGCAUAUAUUCAUGUCAAAUUCCUCCUGGUGUGGUCCUUGAACAGAAACAAAGGCCAGUAGGUGACUUAAUGUCACUUAAUGGAGAACUUUGUGAAUUCACGUCAUCAGAUUCAUACUCAUUUUCAAUUAUUUUAACUUUGUUUAAUUUCACAUUCAGCUGAGACUGACUCAGCUUUCCUUACUUCUCUGCAAUGUACUUGGUACAGCAUCAUACUUCAUGGACAGAUACUAUCACUGGGGCUAGUUUUGAUGAUGUUUCUCAAGUUGAUCAAAAGUUAACAUUGGCUGCACCUGGUUUUCCUUCACGGCCACGUCAAAGUGCUAAAGGACAGAAAACUCUUGUAACUGAUCGUGUAAGCCAAAUGCUUUCACCUGAUAGUCAUAUUCCAUGUCAUUUUUCCUUUCAAAUAGCAUGCAACAUAUUUACUAGUUUUGUCAGUCUUAGCUCUGUGUGCCAUUUUUUGAUUUGUCACACAUUUCCUUUCAAAUAGCAGGCUCGCAGAAUCCGAAUUGCUGAAAGACUCACUGAGCUGGAAAAACUGCUUCCACAUUCUGUAGAGGUAAUAAUCUGCAUCUGCCAGAUCAUGCAUAAAGUUGCUCACUGAAGAGGGAUUUCUAAAUUGACUUGUCAAUUGUUUAUUGUCUUUUAUUAUUUCUUACCGAUGCCUUCAAUAUGAAUAUUUUGAAUUGAUAAUCAUAGGCAAAGAGCCUUGAACACCCAGCCCCUGCAGUUCUUUGGCUCUAUUUGAAAUAGUUCACACUCCCACAUCACUUAUGUGGCGAAGUAUGGAAACCUAUGAGACUAUAAUAAGCGAAGAGCUUGGCUGAUCAAAGCAUACCUUUCUCGGCCUUUUGGCUAAGAUCAAGUGUAGUAUCUGUUCUUAUCAGUUUAAUAUCUGAUAUGUGGACCAAUGGUCCACACGAUAUUAAAUUAAUGUUUUAAAGGGGUGAGUCCACAACAAUAGCUUGCUAUUGGGGCACACAUGUGUUAUCUUUGCGUUACACUACAGCAAAGCUUGGCGCACCCUACCAAACCCUAGUCAAAUUAAUUAUUUAUAUAUAACUCACUGCACUCCGUGAAAUGAUCUGAAGGUAAACAAUGCCAAUGUAAAAGAUACUUGUAUAACUGUAACUAACUGCACUAGGUUAAAUAAGCAGGAGGUAUUCGACUUAACAACAUAGGCAGCUGAGUCUGCACUGCUCUGAUUUUGCUGAGCAAUAGUUCUGAUUUUGCUGAGUAAUAGUCUUGAUAUCUAUUUCCCCAUUCGACUUAACGACAUAGGCAGCUGCGUCUGCAUAAAAAUAACGCAAUUAGAGAUUGGUAUGCUAUACAUUCAAUGAUACAUGAAUCAGCGUAUUGAGAAAAUCAAAUCUAUACAGAAUCACAGACAAUAGAGUACAUAAUCUACAGAUAUAAUUGUGUUUCCUACAGAAAUGAAAGUACAAGAUUCAAACUUAUCAUAUAGAUGAAAUAUGAUACCUCAGAUUUUAAUGCCCAUUUUUACAAUAUGAUUUGGAGUUUCAGUGUUAUAUAAGACCCAACUAGUUUAUGUGGAUAUGUGACCGGUUACAUUUGAGUUUGUAGGGUGGUCAAGAGUUUGUACUGGAUGAUGUCAUUGACCAUAUCAAGUUUUUGCAGCUUCAAAUAAAGGUAGGAUCAUUAACCACAAUCUCAUGUAUUCACCUUCUGCUAGCUAGAAGAUGAAGUUUGCUUCUCUGAACAUUAUUCAUUAAUUGUGCAGGAUCUAAGUAGAAGCAGAUUGGGAGGUGAAGCAGUUGCUGAACCUAUGAUUUUCCGCGAGGUAUAAUUCAUCGUGUAUGCUAGCUGAAUUAUAAGUGAGGCAAAGAAUUCACAUUGAAAUUUUUUUCACUAAUCUAUGAUCAUUAAUCUUUGGCAGGGAUAUGGUCACUACUUCUUACACCAGCAGAUGCUGAGUGAACCUCUUGAAGAGAUGAUCGGAAAGUUGCUGGAGACAAAUCCGGUGGCAGCAGACCAGCUGUUAAGGGACAAGGGUCUCUCUUUGGUGCCUCUGGGAUGGACUACGAAGUUAUUCUGAGCCACAUAGAUGCUUGGUGGACUCAUUCGCAUAUUUUAGUUCUGGUUUUGUCAUAUAUUUACUUAAUGUUCAUGGUUUCCACCAGUUAAUUUCUUGAACAAUCUCAGCUUCUAACCUUUAGGGAAAUCAUUUACUUGGUUUGCUAUUCGGAGUUUUUAGUCUUUGACAAUCGGCACUUUUGAUUAUAUUACUGCAAGCGACUCCUUACUAUCCUUUCUGUGCUGGAGGCCUCGAACCAAUUUUUUCUUUUUCUUUUUUCGUGUGACAGAAAUGAAAGCAGAUGGUUAAGGUAAAGGGAAAUUUCACGAUAUUUUGUUAAACAAGAAUUUGGACUCGCCAUCAAGAUAAUCAAAGUAAAUGGGUGGGUGCCAACAGUGGCCUGUUUGAGUUUUUGGGAAUCUUGUUCUUGCUACUUGUGAACCAACUGUACCCUAGCAAAGCAAGGUGUUGGAUCCACUUUGGAAGAUCAAGAUCAUGAUAGGCUGAAUUGGAAAGCACAUAAUUGACUUUGAAAAUGAUCAUUCAGGCCUAUUCAAUUAAUUGCUAAGAACUGUUUGGUACAAUUGGAAUGGCAAACAAAAUGGGUGUGGCUGCUGUACAUGAACGCUGUGGGAAAAUUUUCUCUCUUUAAUAUAGUUCAUUCCUAUGAUAAAAACAAACUAAAAUCUACACCAAAUAAUAAUGAAUGAGAAAGAUAUACACGGUGACCUUUCAAUGCGUCUAUUGAAUCUGCAGUUUCUUGUGACCUUUCAAUGUGUCUAUGAGUCUAUCUGUAUGAUGAGAGUUUUUGGAAGAUCCGGGGAUGAAUCUGCCACAAUGGGCAGCGUCGAGGAUGAGAAUAUCCCUUCUAUUUCAGCAUUGUCAGCCAGUGCUUUCUCCAAAGAAGCCUUUGCUACUUUACUAAUGCAAAUCAGAAGAACCACUGCAAAAAAGAAGUGGAAAGUCUGUAAAUAAUACAAACUCAGUUAAAAAGUAAAGGAAGAUACCCGCAUAAGGCAGACCUUGCUUCUCAAGGAAUGCAAUUAUUAAAAUAUCAUGUUAAUUGCGGAGAAGCAAUAAUUCAUAACUACCAGGUUACACGGGUAACAAAACAAGUGACGAGAGUAAAUUAAAGAAGCUACUCACCGGAUAUUCCAAAACCAAGUACUAUAAACACCUGCAACCAGAAGCAGAACUAGCAUUAAAUUUAAAAGAAGGAAACAUGGUGAUCAUUAGCUGUGAGAGUAACAUUUUGAUUGCCUCAGUAACAAAAAAAAAAAAAACGACAUAAGACAAUGAAUAAUUGGUCAUACAGAGAUACAUAAUACAUACCCAACGAGUUGUUGAAACUUCAUUCCAUCCAUGUGUAACAUCUGAAAGAUCCUUAAGAGUUGUACCAACAUAUACCAGUGCAAAUGUGAUGGGCUGUGAUACAAUCCAGAGCAGAUCUCAUCACUAGAUCAUUUUGUCAUUAAAUAAAUACAAAGAGAUAGACGGAAUGACUUAUUAAUAGCAGAAAAAAUAUAUUCCCUAAAAUGACAAAGGAGACGACAUUGUGGUAACCAACCUCUCCUAUGUUUGAUUAAUUUCUUUUUAUAUCCAUGGUUUAAUGCUUUACUGUUUUUUGUCUGUUUAAAGUUCCUAAUAUUCACAUAACAUACAUACAGCAAUAUAAUUUUUACAAAUAAACAUUGCAUUUAGUAAUUAGAAUGAGUAAAUACCAUCAUUCCCAACCAAGUUGCCAGCAUAAAGUCCCCUAUGUGAACAGGAGUCACAGAGAGUAGGUAGUUCAGCAUGUUAAAUGGAAGCAAAGGAGCAAGCCGCAGCAGCAAAACUAUCUGUUAUUAAAACAAAAAGAAGGAAAAAAAAAACUCAGGAAAUUGCUUGAAACAACUGAGAAAUCCACAUAAACAAGAGUAAUCAGUCAGCUCCAUCUUUUGAUAGUUCAUACAUAUAUAUAUAUAUAUAAUCCACUAGCACCACACUCACUCUAUAUAAUGUUGAUAUAUAUAUAUAUUAUAUUAUAUAUUCACAAUUUUUUCUGGGUUAACUUGAGAUAUCAACAAAGUUAGACCAAGUGGUAGAUUUCUUCUUGAUAAAUUACUCUGGAAAUUUCCUAUCAUGUUACGUUUUAUAGAUUCAUGCACAAAAUGCCACUGUCACAGGCAAAGCAAUUAGACCAUAUCAUGAACUUACCAAUUGUGGCCAUUUAAAGGUCCCCUUUUUAGUUAAUCCCAUUACUUUGUGCAGGAGACUAUGUACCCAGAAAUAAGAGCUCUCUCACAUGUGUAGUCCUGCCACGUGCUGCACUCAUUGUAUAUUUGCAUAUUGGUUCCCUUUGGAUUGUUAUUAGGUGCUACUCUGCUAUGGUUUGGAUCUUACUUCUACAGUAUUACCUUACUUGACAGGAACAGCCACAGUGUCUAUAACUAUGGCAGCAGUAUCAUAUCUGGGAACAUACAAUAUCCAAAAAGUUUACAACUUUACCUUGAAACCGGAUCUCUGAAUGGCAACAGCAACAGCUUGAAACUUAGGAUAAUGCUUCAGUUUGGAAAUAACAUAAGAUCUUCCCAUCUACAUAAUGAUGACAUAUUAUGACAAGUAUAAGCAUAAUAAACCAGUAAAUGCCAGUAUGCAUUUGUCAAAACUUCUAUUUGGCUUAUACGGAAUAACGCAUACAUGUCCACAGAUGCGCACAAUUUAAGAAUUCAUACAGUCAAUGCCAUUAAAAACUUACUGUUCUCCCAAGUAAGAAUGCCGCUGUUGCACCUAAUGUUGCACCGAGAGAGUCUGCAACGAAUCCCACAGGCAAACCAAAAAGAUAACCUCCACCAAGCUGUGAAACAAAACAAAAAAUUAAGUCGCUCAAUGUAGCCUCAUCAAUCAACAACAUAGGGGCACUAACAAAAAGAGAAAACCAAGAUAAGUCCUGUCUAUCUUUGCACUAAGACAAUAAGCUGACACUAGACACCAUAUCCUUACAAGUCAACCUUGGACAUUGCCAUUGACAAAAGAUUUCCAACGCAAAGCAAACAACGAUAAAAAAACCACACAGCAUAAGUGAAAAACAGGACCACUACUGUUGAAGCAUGAUAAACAAAGAAAUUUAUCUCUUUGCUUACUGUAAGUACAGAAGCCGGAACUGCCAGGACCGUGAGAGGAAUGUAUGCAACAGCCCUGCAAUUAUCCAAAAACGUAUGAAAUAUAAGUUAGCUAGACGAUACAAAAACAUCCAUAUCUGUUGGCGCCGAGACGAAUGUAGUACAAUAAAACCACUGCAAUUCUUUCUUAUAAUGCAAAUGAUAUAUGAAACUGAUCACAAAGGUCCAAAUCAAGAAAUUCCAGGAAAAAAUUACUUACAGUACAAGCGGACCCCAAGGUCCAAGAUCCUUCUUGAUCCAUAGCAAGAAAUCCUUCAAACUCUGCACAGAACCAAAAUCACACAACGAUUUUAGCUCAGAAUCAAAACAAACAAGUUUGCAUUUGCUCCGAUUACUACUUAAUUCCUGCUUAAACAAGUUCACACACACUAAAUCCAAAGCCGCAUUUCAAAAGGCAUAGCGAAAAUCACAGAUUGAGAUUAAGAAUCAGAGAGAGAGAGAGAGAGAGAGAGGUGCCUUGCCUUUUCGAUAGGGAGGGAAAUGAAGGCGGUGGCGAGGAGGAAGAGGAGCAAGAGGAGGAGGGCGAAUCUGAGGGCGGAGGCGGAGGAGAGGGAGGAGAGGAGUCUGCGACGCCAGGACCUGAGAUGACGGCCGUCGUCGCCGUGGAGAGAGGGGGCCCCAUCAGGCCUAAACGACGAGCGGGCUCUCAAGUUUGCCAGAUUUAGUAGCUGAGGCCGGUCACCGUCACCCGCCGUUUUUAUUUUUCCACACUCCCCUCUUUAUUACCAUUUUUAAGUCGGUCGUCACCCAAAUAAUAAUAAUAUUUUAUUAUGUAAGAUUUGUUUUUACUUUUUACAUUAAAAAAUUUUAUUUUAAACCGCUCAGUCACAUUUGUUUUGAUAACAUAAGUCUUUUUUUUACAAACAGUUCGACACACAACCGACUCGUUUAGUAAAUUAGGAAAACGUUUUGUUUGUAACCAGUAAUCGCGUAGAUUACUCGUGUCUAAAAUUAUCGUCUAAAAUGACUCAAACCCUAGUGCAAUUUGAUACGACCAAUCCAUAAGGUCGUACCCCACUAAAAGACCCUAACAACCCUAGAAAACUUGUCAGUAUAGACAUGACCAUACCAAGACUGCAGGCAUAGGCCUUCCCUCUGCCAUUUGCAGCUUCUCCAUAGCCAUCCAGAUUCGAAUCUUUGGACACUAAGAUGAGGCUGGAGGCUUCUCGCUUUUGGUGAUUUGGUUGGAAAUAAUUGGCUGAGCAGGCUCCACUAGGCGUGCUGGGCUUUUCUCUGAGUUCAUUGGACUAUGUUAUUGGGGUGACCAAAACAAAAGCCAGCAAUAACCCUGUCCCUUGGGCCCAAGAUCAGUGGAGUAUCCUCAAGCCAAUCAUCAAGCUUAUAUCAUUAUGGGAAAAUUACACAAAAAAAUAUAAAUGAAUUCUCCAAUUUUAUUUGGGAUAUGAAAAAGAAAUAAAGAAUUUCAAUGCUCAGGACCUGACUCACCUGAGAGGAGUAUCUGGUACUAAAUUUGCAUGAAUGGCUGAAAAAGGUAUAUAUAUAUAUAGUCAAAGAGAGACAGAUAGAGAUUGUUACCAGCAAUAUUUGGUCCUGCCAAAAUAAACAUUUUUAUGCAUGGCCUAAAAAUUUUGCAUUUUAUUGAUGCCACACUUUUCUAAAACUUUUUAUGUGGUCCUCAACCAUAAUCCUAUAUGCAACAAAACCUAGUUGUAAAACUUCAAAAAUUCUUUGCUCCCUUUAUUUUUCUAUCCCAAAGAAAAUAAUUUGAUGAUGCAAAAUUGCAUAUAGUACGUCCCGUACAAUAUUAUGCACUAAUAACAUAUAUGAUGUGGAUAUGAUACGACUAUGGAACAAAGGCAUUACUAUUACUAUGAUAACUGAGGAUAUGAGGUUUUGCAUAAAAGGUACCUAAUUUCAUCAUUGAUUCAAGACUUGAUUUGACAAGAGUAGUGGUGUGCGCUUCAUCUGCACUAGUUUUUUUUAGGCUCGUUGAUUAAAAUCUGAUACAUGCACCAGUAGUUUACAAUCAUAUAUAGCUCAUAAAAUGGUUAGCUAUUUUAAUUUCAAUCAAAUUUAUUAAUUUUNNNNNNNNNNNNNNNNNNNNUAUAUAUAUAUAUAUAUAUAUAUAUAUAUAUAUAUAUAUCUCAAGUUCUAACUCGACGUUAAUUUCCCCUUUCGAUCGAUUUCUAUUUUACUCUUCCUUUUAUUCCUGUUGCAGCGUCUAUUUCAGACGUUUCUACCAACAUUUAAGCAAAACUUCCCAUGAUGAUCCUCUAAAUUUGGCCAUGCUUGCAUUCCACCGUAUAGUGGAGCUUUGGCAUUACAAACACAGUGCCUUACCUAGCUGUGUGAAAUGCCGACUCAUGACUCCAUUGCAUUCUUUUCUUCUUUCUGUUUUCGGAAUUUGCAUAAUGUGAUCAUGCUCUUGUGUGGUAGGAGCCACUUGUAAUACUCAUCAAAUGAUGAUUUGAAGUUACGUAGAUCAAUUUCCCCAUGUAAGCUUGAAAUCUAUCUCACAUUAUUGACAUUGUACAGGUUGAUGGGAUGUUGAUGCCAUGCCUAAAGUAGAAAGUAGCCAUUAUUUCUAUAAUGCAUGCUUUUCUCUAGUUUUGUUCCAAGUUCAUUUCAUUGAUCCAUCUCUCCCUAAAGUCCCCGCGUGAUCUGAAUAGGCACCUUAGAUGUGAAAAUUAACAUGACAUCUCAUAUGUUCAUAGCCCCAUAAUCGCAUAUUGCAUCUUUUUAUGAUGGAUUGCUAUUAUUUAAACCAAUAAAUCCACGAUUAGAUCACUAUAAACGGACACGUAAAACAAAAUAUUACGUUACUUUUUUGUUUUUUCUUCUAACAUAAUAGACCGUAAAUUACGACAAAAGCGACUAAGUCGAGAGUUAAGAAUAUAACAUGUUGAUUAUGGAAGAACUUCUAAUCUAUGAGGAUCAAACGAUAACUUUCAAAUGAACAGUUGAAUGUAUUUUUAAAUUUUAAUUGAUAUUUUCAAAGUCCUCGUUUAGUUCCCUUAACGUUUAUCCAUUCUAAAUGAUAACUACAUAACUGCAUGUCUUGAUCAGGGUUAUGUGCAAAGAUAGUGAUCAAGUCACUGAAAACAGUUACAGUACUCUUACAGAGAUAAGCUAGAUUGUAAACGUGUAUUAAUAUUUUAUCUUAACUUUUACAAGAAUAGUUUUCAAGAUAAUAUAUAGAUCAACUAUCGACAAAUGUAAAUUCAGUGGACUCCUAAGAAAAUUUGUAUACAGAAUAAAGGCUGUUAUUCUGUAUACCCGAUCGAAUGAGAAAAGCGACCACUGACAGUCGUGAUUUGACCAUCACUAAAACGACGCUCUCAAAGUUGGAAUUUCGUUUUUAUUUUUGUUUAAUUACAGUGGCAAAUGAAAGCUAGCUCUGAUCCUUUCCUAAACUAAACUAAACUAAACUAGUUAAUUAAAUUCAUGAGUAGUCAUGACUAUACUUGAUGUUUCUGUAUAUUGUAUUUUUGAUUCUGAUUCAAACACUACUGGUUUUGUCAAAUCCAAUCGUAUCAGGUCUUCGUUAAUAAAGAAUGCAGCAUUUUACAGUUAGAGUCCAAUUAGCGUAACAAUCAGUUGUCGUUUUAAGAAUCCUACUGGUGCUGCAAAUUUAACAUUAUGGAAGAACAAAAUUUUCAGCUUUUUUAUUUGUUCAUAAUUUAGUGGUGGUACAGACCUUACACUUUACAGUACUACUAGCUACUACUCGAUGAAAAUGACACCAUCGAUAAUGACUCCCAUAAUUACUAUGAAUAUUGAAUAAUACUGCGGGUAAAUCCUAGUAUAUUAAGCAAGGAAUUUACAAAAUAUUUCGCUUAAUUUUAUCAUUCUGAUUGAGAACUAUGUUUCGUCGACCAAGUUAAUGCUAACCCUUGCCUCUUAAACCUUGUAUCAGACUUUAUUUAAUUUUCCUUUAAUUUUUAUAAACAUGGAAACUAUGAUAACUUUUCCCCGCUAAGUUGAGUGGUGAUUGUUUGUACGGUGGAUUAGCGGGUUAAUCCAUGUACUUAUAUGCAUGGUGAUAGUCAGAUUAACAUAAUAUAAGAGGGAUAGAGAUAAGAAGACACAAAGUUUAUAGUGGUUCAUCUUCUUUUCUUGGGUUAGAUUACAUCCACUUAAUAUGUACUGGAGGUUGGGAACCUAAGUGGCCCCCAUAGUAUUACAAGUGUUAGUCAUUGUGUGUUGAGUAACUGAGAAUGAUUCUUCUUUUAUAGAAGACGGAGGCUCCUUCCUUUACAUGUUUUCCAUUGUGGGACUAAGGGUCAUAUUCUAGUCUCUAAACUGUUGUAUGAAGGCAUGUUGAUGAGGCCGAGAAAGUGAUUUCCGGGUAAGCUUUUGGCGACAUCCGGAUACCGUUGCGUAGCUUGUAUGUCAGGCUUCAAGAUGUAUGUCACGGUUGGACCUCAUUAUAGCUCGUGGGCCCAAAACAAGGGUGUUACUUAUGCUUGUUGGCAUAGUAUACUAGCCAUACCAAUGGUGAUACCAACAGUGAUAUGUGGUGAUCGAUUUUUAAGUGUCAAUUAAAGUUCUCUCUCUUGUCAAAAGAAAUUAGGGUUUUAUCUUUUUGAACAAAUUAUGUUUGCCUACAACUAAGGGCGUCUUAGGCCAUCGCUCUUGUGUGUCUCGGAUCUAUGUACGUAACAAAAUUUCUUUUUCUGAUAGAGUUGACUUAUGUAGAUGCGAGAUUUCUCUUUUUUAUUUUUCGACACUGAAAAUAAUAAGUGAAACGUUUGAGAAAUUUAAAGAAAUGUAACUUUUGAAAAAAAAAAGAGAAUAGUAUUCAAGACCACUAUAUUUUUUGUUUGUUUGCUUUCUUUUCUCUAAUCCACUCAAAAGUCAAAGUUCAGCACCACUUGCCACUUCAUCUGUAUAUAUAUAAACCCUACACCUCAAUCACCCAUCGCCACACGAAACUAUCAAGGUGGGAAUUGAGCUAGCUUUCUACAACUUUUUCGACGACAAUUUAGUUUUCCCUCAUUAAUCGAUACUUCAUUUCUGGUUGGCACCAUUUCGAUAAAAGGCAAAUAUACAAGUGCGCCGUGCUUCUUAGCUUCUCCUAAGUUCUAACUACUGUUUAAAACCCAAACCAACUUCUUCAGCUUGCCACAUCUCAGUGAUCUCACACACCAACAAGGUACAACGCAUUUUAGAAUUCAAUUAGAUCACCUUGCUUUUCUUUCCAUUUCUCUUUAAUUUUUGCACAUAUGUUUCUUUUCUUACGUUGUUUGGUUGCAGAUCAUGACCAUGAACAUGAUGCCAAUGUGCAAACAAGCACAGGCGUUACCAAACGUACAACUAUCCAAUAUUGGCGGCGGGCAUAGCCACAACCUCCUCGAUGUGUUCAAUCCCCGCCGCCAAAAGGAUAAAGUGGUGAUCGUAAUGGGCGCCACCGGGACAGGCAAGUCCAAGCUCUCUAUCGACCUAGCCACCCGCUUCCCGGCAGAAAUCAUCAACUCCGACAAAAUGCAAUUCUACGAGGGCCUUGACAUAGCCACCAACAAAAUAACACCACAAGAACAACGCGACGUCCCCCACCAUUUGCUUGGAGUUUUAGACCCCAAUGUGGAUUUCUCUGCCGACGACUUCUCUAACGUCACCUGCCUCGCCGUCGACUCAAUCCUGAACCGGAACCGACUUCCAAUCAUCGUUGGAGGCUCGAACUCGUACAUAGAGACCUUGGUUGACGGCUACGAUAACAUGUUCCGGUCCAGAUAUGACUGCUGCUUUCUCUGGGUGGAUGUAUCCUUAUCCGUUUUGCAUUCUUUUGUUUCCGACCGUGUCGAUCAGAUGGUGGAGAAUGGACUGGUGGAGGAGGUGAGAGAGUUCUUUGAUCCCAAUGCGGAUUACACAAAAGGCAUCAGAAGGGCCAUCGGUGUGCCGGAGUUCGAUGACUUUUUCCGGUAUGGUCCGUUUUUGGAUGAUGAAACUAGAGCUGGGUUACUUGAACGAGCGAUCAACGAAGUGAAAGACAAUACGUGCAAGUUGGCAUGUAGGCAGUUGGAGAAGAUUCGAAGACUUAGGAAUAAAGGGUGGAGUCUGCAUCAACUUGAUGCCACUGAGGUGUUCCAAAAGCGCGGCAAGGAGUCCCAUGAGGCCUGGGACAGGCUGGUUUCGGGGCCAAGCGCCAUGAUUGUUCGCCAGUUUCUCUACAAUAACAAGGCCGAAGUUACCACAAAUGCCAUUAGGGUUCCGGUGGCAAUAGAAACUGCAGCCCUUGCCGCUGCAACUUACUAGACACUCGGCCUAGCUAGCUUACAUAUUUUAGUAUCAGCCCGUUUUUCUAUAACAUCUCUUUCAUAACAGACAUAUGAGUCAUAUAAAACGAUCGGCCAUAUGAUGGUAUCGGAAAAUUCUAGCAGCUAGCUUGGAGUCACAAUAAAUUUUGCAGCAGUAUAGUAGUACAUUUGGUUAAUCUUUUAUCAUGGUUGGUACAUUAAUUUGGUCAUUCUAUAUAUAUUGAAGUAUUGAGCUAUAUAUAUUGUCAAUGUCAUGGGAAUUUAGUAAGCAUUGUCAAUGAUUAUAGCUUAGCUUAAUAAUUUCAUUUGCUUUUUGGAGGAAUUGGGAUCCAUGAAGAAAAGUGUUUUUUAUUUAUUUUUUUUUAAGAGAAGAAAAGUGGGGUUAAUAUGUAAUGAUGAUGGGGACAAAUAUAUAUGGAUGGGAACCUGAGAAAUGACGGCUAUGGUGUACUGAUACCCCUGUAAUAUUUACUAUUUUUGUCAUUAAAGAGAUUUAAUAAUGAGGUUAAGAGGUUUAAUUUAUAAUGUAAUUGGUCGUACAACUUAUAAGUCUGCUCCGUACUCUCAUAUAUCAAUUCUCAUGAAAAUGAUUAUAUGAACUUUCUUUAAGGAAUCAGAAUCUGGUAGUGGUAAAUGAGAAAGAUUGAUGAGACUGCAUGAUUUAAGAUACAUAAAUUAUAUGAUGAUUUUUUUUUUCUUGGAUAUGAUUGAAUAAUUGGGAAUCAAAAGCAAUUAAUGGACAUGCAGUUGGAUGCAAAUUAGUAUACAAAGAUAUUUCUUCAAAUAAUGAGAAAGCAAAGUCAUCCGAUAGAUUGAAUCACUAAUAAUUGACGAUGAGUUGUUUGUGAUCGAAAUGCAAUCCUUUAUGAGUUCUAUGCUAUUAUAUUAUUAACUGAUAUGCUUUGCUUUCUUUUCAAGCAUUACACUAAUCCUUUUGCAACUGAUCGCACAUAGGCAAUACUGUGGAGCAUGAUCGUAUACAAGCUGAAAUGAUAAGACAGAUGCACCACCCCCACUUAUUACAAAGCUAAGAGGAUAUAUAUAACAAGAUGAAAAGGGUAUACACACAUGAUAGUGGUUUUCAGUUCCAGAUUCAAGUAAUUACAUCUUGUUUACAUCGGUUAGAAAUUGGAAAAGAAAUGUGAGGUGAAGUAACUGUUGUUGAAGUUAAUGCUUUCUUAGUCAACAUACUAAGAAGAAGCAGGAAAUUCAUAGCUGCAGGGGGGAGCUGAAGUCGUUACUGCAGUGACUCACUGUAGUGAGAUAUUUCCAGCUACUUGGUUUAUUGUUUACUCCUCCACUUAAUCUAGAUAUUUUGUUGUAUGUAAAGUACAAUUAUAAUCUAGUUAAUUAGGUGUUUCUAAGAUAUUUUGUAGGUUACUUUGUACCCUAUAUAAGGGUUAAACUGCUGUGUAAUCUCUAAGAAUUUCAGAAGUAAGAAAUAAAAGCUGCAAAGUUUUGCUUCAACUUCAUCUGUGUUUUCUUCUGCCUCAUUUGCUACAGUAAAUUGAUCUUGAUCAUAUUUUGUUCAAAAUACAAAGUAGAGGCUCAAAUUCUAACAUGGUAUUAGAGCCCUGUUGAUCAUUAUCAACUGGGGUGUACCAUCUGUUGGAUACAAAAAAAAAAAACAAACACUUUUCUUUAGUUUUCUGCUACUACAAUGACUACAGUAGAAAAUGGUUCAGAAGUAAGAGUUCCUAUCUUCUCAAGAGAGAACUUUGAUUUCUGGAUUAUUAAGAUGGAAACCAUGUUCAUAUCACGUAAUCUCUUGAGCUAUGUGAAUGGAGGAUAUGUAGUUCCAGCAGCUGAAGGGAUGACAAAUGCUCAAAGAACUGAGCUGAGGGCAAAUAUCAAGAAAGAUGCAAAAGCUCUUGGUAUUUUGCAAACUGCAGUCACAGAUGCUAUCUUUCCAAGAAUUGCAAAUGAGAAAACAGCCAAAGGAGCUUGGGAUGAUCUGAAGGUGGAGUUCAAAGGCUCAGAUAAGGUGAGAGCUGUUAAAGUUCAAUCCUUAAGGAGAGAUUUUGAAUAUACUAGAAUGAAUGAAACUGAGCUGCUAAGUGAUUAUUGCACUAGAUUGACUGAUUUAGUUAACCAGAUGAAAACCUAUGCUGAACCUAUACCUGAAAAGAGAGUAGUACGUACAGAAGAUCCUUAUGAGUUUGAAUAGGAAGUAUGAUGCUAUAACAAGUAUUAUAAAGGAGACUAGGGAUAUAGACACUCUUGGUGUGCAGGAUUUAAUGGGGACACUUAAGGCUUUUGAUCAGAGGUUGAUGAGUUAUAAUGAACCAACAGAAAAAGCCUUUCAAACACUAAGCCUAAACACAAAUAGUGAGCCAUCUAGUUCAAAUUCCAAAAAGAAAAAGAAUUGGAAAGGCAAAGGCAAGAAGUGGGAGGGUAGAUCAGAUCAGUCAGGAAAAAGAAAAAAUGAAGGAGGCAGUAGUUCAAAUUAUUCGAAGUGUUCAAUCUGUGAUAAGAUGCAUAUAGGUGAAUGUUGGUUUAAGGGGAAGCCAAAAUGUUCAAUUUGUAACAAGUUUGGUCAUGUCAAGAAGGAUUGUGACUACAAGGGAAAUCAACUGGCUAGCUGCAGUGAAGACCAAAGUGAUGCUAGUAUGUUCUGUGUCACUUAUGCUGCAACCACUACGGUGAAUGACAAUGUGUGGCUUGUUGAUAGUGCUUGCAGUAAUCAUAUAACUGCAAAUGCCAACCUUCUCUAUGACAUUGACUACAACAAUAUUACAAAGGUGAAGAUGGCAAAUGGAAUAUUGGUGGAUACAAAAGGCAAAGGAAGUGUUGCUGUUGAAACCAAAAAUGGAAAAAUGUUCAUUAGAGAUAUAAUGCUUGUUCCAAAUCUUAAUUCGAAUUUGCUAAGUGUUGGACAACUCGUUGAGCAUAAAUAUCACCUGCAUUUUGGUGAUGAUACUUGCAAAAUCUUUGAGAGAGGAAGUAGCAAGAAGCUGAUGGUGGAAAUUGAAAUGAAGAGGAACAUAAGUUUUCCUCUGACUCUCAAGUAUGCAACUGAGAGUGCAAGAAAAAUGGAGUUGUAGGAAGAUCCUUGGCUCUGGCAUCAAAGGCUUGGACAUUUGAAUUUUCAAAGUCUGAAGCUGUUGCAUCAGAAUGAAAUGGUGCAGGGAUUGCCAAAAAUUAAAGAAGUUACUAAAGUGUGUGAAGGAUGUGCAUUUGGAAAGCAGCACAUUAUCUCAUUUCCAAAAGGGAAGGCAUGGAGAGCAAAAACACCAUUAGAGUUGGUCCAUUCUGAUGUCUGUGGUCCUAUGAAAACAAUUACUGGGGGAGGUAACAUAUAUUUCCUUACAUUCAUUGAUGAUUAUUCAAGAAUGACUUGGGUUUAUUUCCUGAGGCAAAAAUCUGAUGUGUUCAUUGUGCUCAAGAAGUUUUAAGCUAUGGUAGAGAGACAAUCUGAUCUCAAAAUCAAGAAGCUUAGAUCAGAUAGAGGUGGUAAAUACACAUCAAAUGAGUUUGGAGAUUUUUGUGCAUAUAUUGGUUUGGAGAGGCAGCUUACAGUAAGCUACACACCGCAGCAAGAUGGGGUAGCUGAAAGGAGAAAUAGAACAAUUGUUGAAAUAGCAAAGCCUAUGCUGCAUGCCAAGAAAGUGCCUUUAGAAUACUGGGGAGAAGCAGUUAUAUUGCGGUGUAUUUAAUGAACAGACAUCCAACUACUGCAGUGUAGGGAAUGACACCAUUUGAAGCUUAGAGUGGAAGGAAGCUAAGUGUUAAUCACUUGAGGGUGUUUGGUUCAAUCUGCUAUGCACAUAUCCCAAAGGUGUUGAGAAAGAAGCUUGAUGAAUCAAGUGAGAAGUCUGUGUUCAUGGGAUACAGCUUGCACACAAAGGGCUAUAGGCUCUAUAAUCUGAAAAAGAAGAAAAUUGUUAUCUGCAAAGAUGUUCUCUUCAGUGAGAAUUCAUCUUGGGAUUGGAAUCAAGGUUCAGUCCAGCAACAAUGUGUGCCAGAUAAUGCUAUUCAAGAUGAAGAUGUUCCAGAAGAGUUGGAACUUAAUCCACCGCAACAAACUCCACCUCACAGUCUUGAACAACCCUCACCAGCACAUUCAAAUGCUCAAUCUACACCAAGCUCAACACCAAUAAGGAUGAGAAGCUUGAAUGAAGUGUAUGAAAGCUGCAAUGCAUGCUUAUUUGAGCCUGAAAGAUUUGAAGAAGCUGUGAAAAAAGAUGACUGGAGAACUGCGAUGAAAGAGGAAAUUGAUGUGAUUGUGAAAAACAACACAUGGGAGCUUGUUGAUAAACCAGACAACAAGGAUGUCAUCGGUUUGAAGUGGAUUUACAAAACCAUGCUAAAUGCAGAUGGUUCUGUGCAAAGAAACAAAGCAAGAUUGGUGGCAAAAGGGUAUUCACAGAUACCUGGAGUUGAUUUCAAUGAAACUUUUGCACCAGUUGCAAGGCAUGAGACAAUCAGAGGUCUGAUUUCCAUUGUAGCACAAAAAGGCUGGUUCUUGCCCUAGCUAGAUGUCAAAUCGGCGUUUCUAUAUGGAGUGCUGAAAGAAGAAGUAUUUGUGGAGCAACCACAAGGUUUCAUCAUCAAGGGUAAAGAGCAAAAAGUUUACAAGCUAAAGAAGGGUCUUUAUGGUUUGAAACAAGCCCCAAGAGCUUGGUACGGUGAGAUCGAUUCUUAUUUCACAGAACGAGGGUUUCAAAUGAGUGAAAAUGAACAUGCUCUCUACACCAAAACUGAAGGUAAAUCAAACAUACUUAUUGUCUCUUUAUAUGUUGAUGAUUUGGUAUUUACUGGAAGUUGUGAAAAAAUGAUUUCAAAUUUCAAGUCUGAUAUGAUGAGGAAAUAUGAAAUGAGUGAUUUGGGAAUCUUGCAUUAUUUUAUGGGAAUUGAAAUUGUUCAAGCAGUGAAGGGAAUCUUUUUUUCUCAAAAGAAAUAUGCAAAGACAAUUCUAGAGAAGUUCAAAAUGCUGGGUUGCAAACCUCUAGUUGUCAAUGAAAAAUUUUCAAAAGAAGAUGGAAGUGGUAAAGCUGAUGAGAGUUUAUACAGAAGUUUAGAGGGAAGUUUGCUUUACUUGACAGUAAUAAGACCUGAUAUUAUGUAUGCUGCAAGUUUGAUGUCCAAAUUUAUGCACAAUCCUACCAAGAUUCACUAUGGGGCUGCAAGGAGAAUCCUUAGAUACAUUCAAGGUACAAUGGACUUUGGAAUUCUGUAUGAGAGGAAUGUGGAACCAAAACUCUUUGGCUUUUGUGAUAGUGAUUGGGGAGGAAGUGUUGAUGAUUUAAAAAACACAUCUGGAUAUACUUUUACACUUCGAACUGGGGUAUAUUCUCUUGGGCUUCAAAGAAGCAAAAAUCAGUAGCCUUGUCUACAGCUGAAGCAGAGUAUGUAUCUGCAUCAAUAGCCACUUCACAAGCAAUUUGGCUCAGAAGAGUCAUUGAAGACUUUGGUGAGAAGCAAGCAUCUGCAACAACCAUUCUCAGUGAUAACAAGUCUGCAAUUGCCAUGAGCAAGAACCCUGUGUAUCAUAGUAGGGCAAAACAUAUUGCCUUGAAGUUUCACUACAUCAGGGAUGCAGUUGAUAAGAAUGAGAUUGAUUUGGUGUACUGCAAUACAGAUGACCAAGUUGCAGAUAUUUUCACCAAAACUCUACCAAGAGAGAGGUUUAAAUACCUCAGAGGCCUGCUAGGAGUGCAAAAGCAAAAGUAUUAAGAGGGAGUGUUAAAGUUAAUGCUUUUCUUAGUCAACAUACUAGGAAGCAACGGGAAAUUCAUAGCUGCAGGGAAGCUGAAGUCCUUACUGCAGUGACUCACUGCAGUGAGAUAUUUCUAGCCACUUGGUUUAUUGUUUACUCCUCCACUUAAUCUAGAUAUUUUGUUGUAUGUAAAGUACAAUUAUAAUCUAGUUAAUUAGGUGUUUCUAAGAUAUUUUGUAGGUUACUUUGUACCCUAUAUAAGGGUUAAACUGCUGUGUAAUCUCUAAGAAUUCCAGAAGUAAGAAAUAGAAGCUGCAAAGUUUUGCUUCAACUUCAUCUGUGUUUUCUUCUGCCUCAUUUGCUAUAGCAAAUUGAUCUUGAUCAUAUUUUGUUCAAAAUACAAAGUAGAGGCUCAAAUUCUAACAACUGUAAAAAGCGAGUCUUCGAGCAUCUUGUUUAUAGUUAUAGUGGCCGGGGAAACCAUAAUGUGUGGUUUCACGCCGCUGCGCACAAACACCGCACUUGGGGCAAGUGUGCUGUGGAGAUGGGCCGGGGUUUCAAAGUGAACAACAUGGGGGCGCAAGUGCAUGCGCACUGCUCUCUCCUUUAGUCCUUUUCAAGGUUUCAGAGAGAAUCCAUGUUUGUCUUUCUUUUGUUUCAUGCAUAAUAAUCGAUCCGUGUUUUACUCAAUAAGGAAACUCCAUCAGACCAAAAUAGAAACAAAUUGCAAAACUUGUUAUCUCGGAUACCACUGUCAUUUUCAUGAUGCAUUGCAAUAUUGUUCUGUUUUUCUGGGAUUCUAUAGCUCCCAUAGAAUUGUUCUUUACCUUGCAACAAGCACUUCCAGCUUGGAAAAAUCAGAUUCUUGUUCAUGGACCAGCACACUGCACACGGAUCAUACACACAAAGGAAAAGAAAAAAGAUCGAAGAAAAGGUUUUUGGCCCUAAUUAUUAAGUCUAAAUUGUAGAAAAUCAUGGACGUACAGGAUAAAGCAUUCUAUUCUUGUCCAAACUUUUCAGAUAAAAAACAGAAAGGAAAAAAAGGGGCUCUCUUAGCUUGUUCCAUUUUACAGAAAAUAAUUAAUAUCUGGGAGAACAUCUUUUAGGUUUUUUAUUACCCAACAAAACCAUAUAUAUCCUAGUACGGACACCAUGAAACUUGUAAGUUCUAACUAACGAACUACGAAUGUGCACGAUGGUCAAAAUAGACUAGGUUGUGCUUAACGAGCAGAGAAUAUUAUUGCAUGAAUUCAAAAGGCAAAUAAAAAAGAAAAAAGAGAGAAAAUGCAGAGAAUAAAGUUAUGGGGGUGAGAAUCGUGAGAAGAGAAUGAAUGGGGGGAACGACUUCGAUACCUAGCUACUUGUACACAACCCAAUUUGUUAGUCAAUUAUUCUUCUUGAAAAAUAUAAAGCUUAAAUUUCGAAUAAGCUAGCUCUUCGAUCAAUCAGUCACCAUCUUGUAGAUUAGAAGAACCUUAUAUUUGUGUGGGUGUGUUAUCAGCAUAAUGAAAGACUCCAUUACCAAUUUCCCAUUUGCAUGGGGUCUAGAUUAUUACAGCUUUGAAGACAAUUCGAGAGUUUGAAACUAUUCAUGGACACCAAUGGUCAUUGAUAAUUGUUUCAUAGUACUGUUGAUUUUACUAGUCUUUUUUGUUAAUUCUGAUGAUUUUACUUGACUGUAGAAAAAUGUUAUGAAAUUGUUCCAAAAAGAAAAGAACUAUGUUAUCGAAGUUGUUAAUAGUUAUUUACUUCAUAAUCAAAGUUUUUAUGCUAGCUACUUCAAUAUUUUGUUAGGUUAAAGUCAACACUGAUGGUGCUUGGCGUAGCUCUUCGGGCCAAGUGGGUUAUGGAGGCAAGCCUAUGGAGGCAUAUUUUAAGAUUUUAGAGGUGGAUUUCUUGGUUCUUUUUACUUCAAUUUUAAUAUGGCAAGUUCGGUGGCAGCAUAGGUUAUGGCAGUCAUAAAUGCUAUUUAGCUAGCAUGGGCACGAGAUUGGAAACAUGUAUGGUUGGAGGUUGAUUCUUCCUUAGUUAUUACUUUUCUUCGCUAGUUGCAUUUAGUGCCUUGGCAGCUAAGGGUUGAGUGGAGGAAUUGUUUACAUUAGAUAUCACAUAUGCAUUUCCGUUCUUCCCAUAUUUUUCGUGAAAGUAAUCAAGCAGCAGAUACUUUUGCUAACUGCGGCCUUUCUUCAAAUGGUUUGAUUUGGUGGGAUUUGCCUCCUCAUUUCAUUCUAUCUCAUUGAUGUAGAGAUUAUAUGAGACUCCCUAAUUUUUGUUUCCGAUAGUUUACUUUAUUGUUAGAUAUUGGUUUUUGUUUAUUUGUCUAUUAGAGCUUAGUAUCAUUUUAAUAACUUUUCUUCUUAAAGAGUUAGACAUUAUGUCCUCCUUACUUUUGUAUUCUUUUAUUGUUCAUUUUAAAUGAAACUCAAUAGAAGUUUGGGCAUCUAACCCGUCCCCUGUUCAUCGAAAAAAAUUGUGAUGCUAGCUAGCUAAGAUCGAAAUGUUAAUGCAUGCAUGCAAGCUGGUUUGAUUGCUGAUUCUAAUUCUAUGGUUUUAGUUCGUCAUGGCAUGGGAAGAGUAAUUAGUAAAAUCAAAUUCUUGUUGAGUCGCAAAUCCCAGCUGGUACUUAAUCGUCUCAUAUAUAUUCUUUUAAUGUAAGCGAGGAGAAAAUUGACCUUUGAACUCGAUCUUUGAACUCUUUUUGUGGACGAGACGAGUUCUGUGAUACAUUGCUCCUGAUUCAUGCAUGGAUGUGAGACGAUCCAAGGCCAGUUUUUUGGGUGUAACUCUCAUAAUUAACUUACCCCACAGAAAACCCAGUAGUGAAACAUUCUUGAGAAACAUAUAUCGAUAAGGUAAUUAGAGUUUCUGAAUACGUACUGUUCCUCUUCACCAUGCAACAACAAACAAAAGAAAAUGCUCAAAAUUAUUAAAUUUGUAGGCAACUAAACAAGACCAGACUAUAACAACAUUCACUAUCACAAUUCGACGAUUUAAACCACAUAUUACCAAACAUAAUAAGAACACUAUAAGUAAAGGAAAUUCUCUAUUAAGUUACGAGAACCGGCAGGCUGCUGCUGCUUCAUGGAUGCGGGCAAGUGUAUGUGAUGUUGCAGGAUGUUCCAAUAUAAACAGAGUAAGUGUGUGCAGGCUUAAGCAGGAAGGUUGGCAAGCGCAGGAGCAGCUCACAGACACACUGGUUAUCAAGCUGGGUCAACCAUUUGCAGCAAUUAUCUUCUUGGGGUGUCAUGGAUCUUUGUGACCUAUGAUGGUGCCCGCGCCUGCGCUUGUGUCUACGGUGACGCUGUUGUUUGCGACUGUGCCCAUGUCCGUGGUGUUCGCGCCCGUGUCCAUGGCCGUGGCCGUUGCUGUGGCUGUUGCUGUGGCCGUGGCCGUGACUGUUUGCUCGAGCAGCACCAUCACCACCACCACCACCACCACCGUCAUUACCACCACCAUCACGACCAUUGUCAUCGUCGUCAUCACGACCAUCAUCAUUGUCGUCGUCGUCAUCAUCAUCGUCGUCGUCGUCAUCGUCGUCAUCAUCAUCAGGGGGUGAAGGGGAAGGAGGGGAAGGAGGUUGUGGAAUAGGCGGCAUUGGACCAUAUGGCAGCAGUGAACAUGCAUAGCUAGCUAGCGCGAAUUGGGACGCACAGAGCGGGCGGGGAGGAGCAUAAUGCUGCGCCUCCAUGUAGGGCAGCAAUAGCAGGGUUGCUGCAAACAAGGUAAGAAUCUUCUUGACAUUCUCCAUCAUCUUGUGCUGUGUAUUUUAGGCGUUUUAGGCCAAACCUUCUAUUUAUACACUAAAUGCUUUCAUUAGCUGCUUCUUGUUUUUCUUUGGUGUAGCUAGCUCCUGGUUGUGGGGGUUAUUAAGUAGUGGGAUUACCAAGAGGAUGAUGAGUUUGGUUCGGAAUGGUUUACUCUUUCUCUUCAUUCUCUUUGUGUGAAGAGCCUGUUAGGUGACGUACAGACUCUUAUAUAUAUGCUUUGCACAACUCACCUCACUCCUACCAGAAAAACAAGGGGGAAUUCUUUAAUUGUUUCAAAUUUCUACAAUUAGUUGAAAUCUCUGCCAAUUUAGCUGAAAGUAAUGAAUUUCUUAGGAAUAAACUAUCUUACUGCUUAGUUAAAGCAACAUGGAGAUCAUGUCAAAGAUGCAGGUAUUAAGAAAAGAACACAAUAAAGGCUCUGUUAGCAAAAUCAUUCAAGUAAAAGAAGAAACGGAACCAUAUAUUGGACGUCUGUAAAUGAUUAAGCGAAGCAUGAUUUUUUGGUUUGUGAAAAUAUGCUAAUCCUGAUAUUGAUCACAUUGAUUUCAUGCCAGUCUCCUGAAGGACCUGAACAGCUGAACCACCUCGGUCAUUACAAAGUUCAUGCGGAACUAAUGCAGAAGUGAAUGGAAAUGAAGCUAAAAAACAUUUCAAUUCAAUUAUACAAAUGGCAUAUAAGUAUCUGAUGUCCCUAAUAUUAGUCAAUUCAUCACAAAAAUCCCAGAUCUAGUGCCUCUGUAACAGAGACAUGCCCUCCAGCAGCUACUUGUCAGCACAUAUACAUGUCUAAUAAUAAAAAUUGCAUCUUGAUAAUAAUUUUCUACUUCUAACUCCAGAAUCGGACCAAAUCAGAUGAACUACUUCUGCUCAAAUAGAUCAUGUUUCGUUGCAGAUUCCACCUCAUGCUUAGCUGAUUUAGCAAACUGACAGAAGCAAAGUUCAAAAUGAGGAUCUGAAAACAAUUAACAUGCCUACCAGAUAACUAUGAACAAUUUGAAAGUUUUAUUGUAUUCAUGUAAGUUGCAAGCAUGCAAAAGAAAUGGUCCCAAUAGCAAUAUACUAAUGUUGUAGAAACCAGCAGAAAUCUGCACAGAUAUAAUAUUGUGCAGAUAUAAAAAUAGGACUUGUAUAGUUUAGCAUAAAAGAUUGAAGAGAAGAAAGUUGAUUCACCCUUCCAUUGAAAAGACUAAAAGAGCAGUUAACCAAGAACCACUGUAGACUUCACAUGAAUAUGGGUUGGAUUACUACAAAGCAUCAUUAUACAAGACCACAAAACAGAAACCCUCUUCAAGACAGAAUACUCUAUAUAUACACAACCAUGAUCAUCCAAUACUUCAACUUAUUUUUCAGCUCAAAAUCAACAGACAUUCUAAAUAAAUAUUAAAUAUUAAUUUCUCAACCUGUCAUCACCAUAUAUCUGGUUGCAAAACUCAGCCUACUUAAUUAACACCAUUUCAUUUCCAAAAAAAAAAAAAAAAAAACCCAAUUCUCUGCACCUCUUCUUUAUUUAUCCCAGCCAACGGCUCUAUUCUUCUUCUUAACCUAUUUCCUUUGCAACUGCACCUUCUCUUCUCCGCUCUCUCCUGCUACCCUCCAACAGCUCAACAUCUUUUCCCCAUCCCCGACAAUGGCUCCUGAUCAAUCAACUGGUCAUCCUUGUAAACGUCCUUAAGCACUGUCUUCAUGGUCUCCCUGACACAGAAUAUCCUGGAGUGCCAUAUGAAUACAUUCGAGAGUGCAAAUAAAAACCUAUAGUCAUCGCAAAAUUUUACUAACAUGGGCACAGGAAUCUCUUCCGUAAAGAUUAAAGACAACAGUAACAACUUAUAGUAGUUUGCUCUGUUAUACAUUUCUGAGAAGCUUGACCCUAAAGUGAUACAUAAAUCCAGUCCACUCAAUCACUAAUCAACUCCCUCAUUUCCUUCUUGAACAAAACCCUGGUUGAAGCUGAUAAUUCAUCAUUAAAGUUUGCAGAUCAGGUGCCUAGUAUAUCACAGUAAGCUGUGUUGAGCAUUCUCUUCAGAAGCUACUUGUCAGAAUGUAAACAUAUGUUUGAGAUAUCGAAGUCCACCUUAAUACAUACAUUUCUCUACUCAUAACUCGAGAUUAAUGCCUAACUAGAUCAAGUUUUGUUGAAAUAGUGUAAUGUAGCAACUACAUACUUGUCCUGGUUAAGGGUGGGAUAUAAUGGAUUGCCUAAGUUUCAACAUCAUGAGCAUGGCAGUGGCAAAGUUCAAAAUGGGAUUUGAGAAAGGAUGCAAAAUAUUCAUUCAUAUUAACUAUCACCAUUAUCUAUAGUCAGGGAAUGUACGAGCAUACUCACAAAUGUUCCCUCAGUCAUUGCCUAUAAUUAUUGUACAGUCCAACCAAAAUAUGCAUACAUAAUAUAAAUGAGGGGCCUUAUAGGGCAAAAUAAAAGAUAACAGGAUGAAGAUAACAAUUUCACCUUCCAUUUUAAAGGAUUAAGACAACAAUUUUACCAAGAAUCACUAUAAAUUUUAGAUGAAUGAAUUACUACAAAGUACAUUAUACAAGACUAUCAAAAAGAAACCUCCUCCUAUAGAGACUGCUACAAUCGUACACAACCAUGAUGAUUCAAUACAUGAACUAUUAGCUCAACACCAAUGGAGUUAUCAACAAACAGAAGAAAUUAUUUCUACUUACCUGCCAGCAUUGCCCUUGCUGAUUACCAUCAUUCUUUGUACCUGCGCUUUACCUAUUCAUCAUUCCUCACAGCCAUUUCCUUAACUUCUUCCCGUUGCAACCGCAACUGCUCUGCACUCUCCCGCCAUCCCUCCUCCAACAGCUCAACAAACUUAUCCUUAAUCUGUAGCAGCGGAUCCCGAUCAAUCAACUGGUCAUCCUUGUAAGCUUCCCUCAGCACAGCCGUCUUGAUCCCUCCUUUCUGCGACACAUAGAACAACCCCGAAUGCCUUGUAAAUACAUUCGGAAACGCAUUUGAAAACCUAUACUCAUCACAGAAUUUCCCCAAUAUGGGCACAGGCAUCCUCUUCAACAAAGACAAAGACAACAACUCAUGGAAAACCCCAACCGUCCUCUUCUCCAUCUCCGGUGACGCUUGAUCCAACUUCGACACAUCCUCAUACGGCGAUAUAUGCUCCAACUCCAUCCAAUCCCUAACCCACUCCCUCAUUUCCUUCUUCAACACACACCCCUGUGGAAGCUUGUAAUAAAAGUUAGGCCGGACCCGGAUCCCUGUCAAGCUUGACUCCUCCUCUGCUCUCCUCUCAAUAACCGAUUUUGCAAACUCCGGGUUCCAAUCAACCAACUCCAAGAAUGAUUUCCCCUGACCGGAACCCCCAACUACCCGGAAAUACUCCGGAUAUUUCGGCACCAAUGUCACCAUAAAAUCAUUAGGAAACCCGAAUUCCCUCUUCACAUCAACCAAUUUCUCAGCACUAACCACCUUAUUCUUCGCAAUCAUCAACAAUUUACACAACUUAGCCACAAUCAAACCCUCAUUCUCCACACAAAUCCUCUUCUCUUCAUCAAGAAACUCCCUAAGUUUAUCACCAACCCUAAUAAACUGAACCUUUUCUGUCUUGGGUUUGAUUCUAUCGUAAUAAACCUCAAACAAACCUGGGUUUUGGGCGAUGAAGGUUGUUGCUUUGGUUCUGAGGCGCAGUCUUUCGCGGCGUUUUUCGAGGUAGCGGAGCGGGAUUUUCUGGCCGGGCUCGUUUAGGACCUCCUUGACGACGCGGGCGCAGAGCUUGUACGGCUUGUCGUGCUCUAUGGCCUGGUCUAGCUUCGGGUCUUUGCGCCACGCGACUUUGAGGCUGGAAAUGGGUUUGAUGUGGAGGUGGAGUUCUGGGUUCGUGUGGGAUACUCUCACGUAGCUGUGGAGAUAGGAGGAGAGGGUGGUUCGAGACUUGGAGAGCAUUUUGGAAUCAGAGAGACUGAGCCACUGGGAGAGUGGAAACGACGACUUCCGGAGAAGGGUUCAGGGUUUAUGGUAGCGGCAACUCUAAUGGACUGAGUUGCAACAAUUUAAUAUUUAUUGGGAACAUACGGAAUAUUAUAAAUGUUAUUUUGCACAUUGAUCCCUUUAUUAAGGUUGCUAAGAUUAUUUUCGCACAUCAGUCCUUUAGAUGGUUAUGAAUUACAGAAAUUACAGCUCUCAUCAAUGUUUUACAUGUUACACAUUACACAACAUUAUGAUUAUGGAGUUUCAAAGCACUUAUGGGUUGCAUCUUGAAAAGGGUAGCUAUCCGGAUCAAGACUUUGGUGGAAGUUAUUGGGAAGAUUGCUUCUCUGUUCACUUUCAUAAGGUUUAGACAUAUCCGGACGGAGGUUAAAUUUGCGGCACAUAGAUUAGCAAGUUUUGAUCUUCAUGAUUGUUUUAUAGUAAUUUGGUUUAGUUGUGUCUCUAUUUAUAUGUUUUAUGUGUUUCGUUUGGAUAACUAGGUGAGAAAUUAUGUAGCUUGUGUUAUGUUUGAUUGUUGCCUUAAAAAACAACCAUAAGUCUAAGACAUGUUAGUUCAAUCCAUGAUGGCACUUUGCAAACUCGGGUGUGCGAGUUUCACAGUUGGACCACCAAAGUACAGAUGGUAAGAAGGUAAGAUUCCGGUUGUCGUUUACAAUACGACUGGCAAAAUGACAACGUCCUUUCUUCCUAGGCCCGUGUCGUCCGAACCGUUAGUUACGUCAGCAAGUCUCCUCUUCUCUAAACUCGUCACGUUACACAAGGAAAGGUCAAAAACCCCGCACUCUCUCCGUUUUUUUCUACCCGAUUCUCACUCUCAGCUCUCUCAGUCACCGUGGAUGGUGGCGCCGCCGUACGCCUAAACUUACCGCUCAAUCUCGAACGCCAUGAUAACGUGGAAUAGCGCCCGUGACAUAGUCCUCGACUCGGAUGACGUUCCGUUCGGGACCGGUGAGUGGUACCUCUACGCCGGAAUCUCUUGCCUGCUGGUUUUGUUCGCCGGAAUUAUGUCCGGACUCACGCUAGGAUUGAUGUCACUAAAUCUCGUUGACCUUGAGAUUCUGCAGCGGAGCGGUACCUCUGAUCAGAAAAAGCAAGCCGGUACGUUUUGAAUUUGAUGCUAGUUUGGUUUCAAUUGAGCUUAAUUUGAACUUGAUCAUUGAUAUUGAAUCGUUAUCUAUCUUUUCGCAGCUGCAAUUUUACCUGUGGUGAAAAAGCAGCACCAGCUUUUGGUCACUCUGCUUCUCUGCAAUGCUGCUGCCAUGGAGGUUUAUAGUUUGCCCCAACCAAUUGUCAUCUAUGUAUAAGUUAUGAACUACAUUGGAUUUACAAUUUUUUUUUUUCAGGCUCUUCCUUUGUACCUUGAUGAAAUCUUUCACCCUGUGGUUGCGGUUUUGCUCUCUGUAACCUUUGUUCUGAUUUUCGGGGAGGUAUGUUGCCUACUUGAUUAUUCGUAAGAUCAUAGAGAUGCAAUUAGUGUGGCAUUUGGUUUUUAUUGGGAUUGCGACUAACUUGGAUAUUGAUAUUGUCUGUUAGAUUAUUCCACAAGCUGUAUGCUCAAGAUAUGGGCUAUCUGUUGGUUCAAAUUUUGUUUGGCUUGUUCGAAUUCUGAUGAUCAUCUGCUAUCCAAUCGCAUACCCAAUUGGGAAGGUAAUGUCUAUAGCAUUGUGGACUUAAUUUUACCUCAUUUUCUGCUGAAUUAAUUGAUUUUGGUUAUCGGAUAUCCAAGUAUUGCAUUUAGACCAACACUCAGAUGAGUUCUUACAAGGCAACAAUCUUUUCCUCAUUCUGUAUUUGGUGAUGAUUUCUGUUAUUGAACUCAACGCUAUGUUUUCUAAACUAAAAACUGAGUAAUAGUGUAAUUGUCUAGGCUCUAGGUUUCAGAUUGAAAUACCAUCUUCUUUGUGUUCAGGUUCUGGAUCUUGCACUCGGACAUGGAGAUGAUUUGUUCAGGCGAGCACAGUUGAAAGCCCUCGUCUCUAUUCAUGGCCUUGAGGUAAGCAAUUUAGAUUGAAACUUUGGAUGCAUGCCACCACUUGGAAUUGCCCACAUUUUUUGUUUAUCAUUUCUAAAUUCUUUUCAUGAAGAAAAUGUUUCUGUAAAUAAUUUACAACUAGUUUCUUCGGGGUGAAUGUGACUUUUUGAUUAGUGUGUGGCUGCUGAAAAUGUCAGAACAGUUAUCUGGUUCUCAUGGUUUCCUGUUGUUCCUUGGCAUGCUAUUUCUGUCCAUUAUAGGCUGGAAAGGGAGGUGAACUAACACACGACGAGACAACGAUCAUCAGUGGAGCUCUAGAUUUAACUGAAAAGGUGCUUAAUGCUUACAAACCAGUGUUCUACACUUGACUGGUGAUAAUUUCUUAAUUGCAUCUUCCACUAUUAAAUAAUUUAUAUUGGGUUGUUCAUGCCAGUGGUCCUUAGUUUAUACUAUCAACCUUUUGUUUCUUUCAUGGUCAAGUGCAUUCUUGGUUAACUUUGUUUGUUGCUGAUAUUGCUCUGAAAUUAUUUUAUUGCUAGUUUUCCUAAGUACUUUGUUUCACUUACAUGUCUCAGUUAUCUUCAUGGCAGUUUAAGCAUUGACAUAAGAUUUCUCUAAUCUGUGAAAAAUCAUUUUUCAUUCUACAGACUGCCGAGGAGGCUAUGACACCUAUUGAAUCAACAUUUUCCCUGGAUGUUAAUUCAAAGUUAGACUGGUAUGUCUUUUGUUGGCCUUUUCUUGGUUUCAAUUUAUGCUGAAAGUGAUCUAGUUUUCUUCUUUCCACUAAUAAGGACAUAUCUUGAUCCUUAAAUCUUGCUAUGUCUGCUGUUUAAUUGGGCGAGUACAGUAGACAGUUAAGCAAGAAAAGGACUUGUUAUGAUCACUUGGUAGCAAUUUAGAUGGGUCUUUCUCUUCUGCUAUAUAGGGAAAAGACAUAUAUAGAGUUCGUCUAAACACACUUGUCUUCUUUUUAACGAGGGCAAACACAUUAACAUUAUUUUUUUUUUCUACCACAGGGAAGCAAUUGGGAAAAUUCUUGCACGUGGUCAUAGUAGAGUCCCUGUCUAUUCUGGAAAUCCCAAAAACAUAAUUGGCCUCUUAUUGGUGGGUUACACACUUAUGACCCAUUUUUGUGUGUGAGUGGGAAGUGUGAUCCUUGUUAUCGGUAAUAGCUGUUUUUUAGUGAUGAUUCAUUUGGUAUUUUGUUGUGCUGAAAAUAGGUGAAAAGUCUCCUUACAGUACGAGCAGAAACAGAGACUCCAGUUAGUGCAGUUUCCAUUCGCAGAAUGCCUAGGUUUGUCAUUUCUCCAUAUUCUCUUUUAUAUCUGUUCUCUUUAGGAAAACAUUAAAAUCAUAUGCAUAUAUAUCACAGGGUUCCAGCCGAUAUGCCUUUGUAUGAUAUACUUAAUGAGUUUCAAAAAGGAAGCAGUCACCUGGCUGCUGUAGUGAAGAUCAAAGGAAAAACCAAGACUCCUCUGCUUGCUGCUGAUAGAGAGAAACGUGAGGAGGCCAGACUAACCAAUGGGUGUGUUGCCAUUGAUGUUGAUAAACGUCCAAGUUCUCUGACAAAUAUGCCAACUGUUCAAGAAAACGAUGGUAUUACAAAUGGUAUUUCACAUUUAUCGGAAGAUAUUGAAGAUGGAGAGGUGAUUGGAAUCAUAACCCUGGAGGAUGUUUUUGAAGAACUUCUGCAAGUAAGCUCUGCUUCUAAGUUUUAUAUUUGGAUAUCGAAUUAUCCAUUAAGUCCUGAGUAGUCAGUUUUGUUCCUGAGUAGUCAGUUUUGUACCCUAUAGCACUCCCACAAAAUGUUCUCACUUAAUGCUCACAUCACCCAGUCCAGUCUUCUAACUUGACUCUAUUAAGCUUUACAUGGUUCAGUAGUAUAUUUUUCUCUCUUUCCCAUUGUCUCUGGAUUGAUUUUUGUGGUUCUCUUUUACAACACAGGAGGAAAUUGUUGACGAGACAGAUGUAUAUAUCGAUGUACAUAAGAGGUAUGAUGGUAUCAAUAGCUUCUGGUGUACAUAAGAUCAAUGCUCUUGAUCUCCCUCAUGGUCAUUUCGUGUGAUUAAUCUGGAUUGUUUGAUUUGUGUAGGAUACGUGUGGCUGCAGCUGCAGCUGCUUCAUCCAUGUCCAGAGCUCAGUCAAGUCAGAAGUUGAUUCAAAAGCAUGCAGUAAGUUAGCAUCAUUCACUUGCCGAUGUUCAUUGCAAAGUCAUUGAACAGCUGAAGUUGUAAACCACUAUUUGUCUAAUUAUAUCUUUGCUGUCGUUCAGGGAGCUUCAAAUAAGCAAGGAACUACCCCGAAGAAGUCUGGGGAGGAUGAUCCAAAUUCGAUGAGGUUUUCAGGGAGUCCACGGGAGCCUCUUCUAGGCGGUACAAGAUCACAGUAGUUCCAGUUGGGAUAGAAGGCUACCCUUGCUGCUUCCGGCCUUUGAAUUUUCAUGCCACAGAGGUUGAGGCCAGUGGCAUUUGUGCCCUUGUUGUAUAUCAUCAUCACACAUAAAACUGUAAGUUAGGGUUUUAGUGCUUGAAAGUAAUUCUGGGUUUAAUUUUGUUGAUCUAUUCUCAGUUUCUCACUCUAAAGCUAAAGAAUUAGAGGAUAUACUUCACAUUAAGACUUGGAAAUGAGUUUCGGAAAUGGUGAAAUGUUGUGCUCUUUAAGUUGACGCCUCAAAGUAGCUGCUAUAUCAUGAAUGAUGAUUAUCUCCAAUCCGACCAGAUGAACAAAACUACAAAAGGCAUACAUUGCAGCACCUGAAAAAACAAACACAAGACACAGGCAAAAAGAACAUAAACUUGCACCACAAUCCGGAUUAUUGCUGCCUUCUAUUUAGGGAUUCAUCAACUAGAAUAAGAAUUAACACGGAUAAUAUAAGCCUUGAAUUUGAGCAUGUCAUGAAUCAUGGAUAUCUUGAUCCGACCAUAUGAACAAAAGCAAUGCGAAGUAGCACUUAGAAAAAACAGAUACAAAACAGGCAGAUGGUAUGUGAACUUACAUGUAUAAAUUUGAAUUAUAGCAAUUGUGAUUAUAAAUUUCUCGUUGUACUCUAUGGUCUUGAGUUAAAUCUUUGAUAAAAAAAAGACAUGAAUCUGUAACUUUUUACUCAAGCGACAGAGAAUUUAUCGAGAAAUUUUAUUCACACAUCCUAAAUCACUUGAUACACAUCCCAAUUUUUUUGGUAAUUUUCUUUUCUCACACAUUACCCACUUUACCCUUAUUUUAUUGUAAGCCAAUAUCGUCUUUCUCGAGUCUCCAACACAGUUCAUCGCCAUCGUCAUCUCACACUACAUUAUGUAUAAUCAUAUUUCAAUAAUUGAAAAUAAGAAAGGACGACGAAAGAGUCUAUAAAGAUGAUAGUUUGAAUUUCUUGGUGAGAUUUCAACCUUCUAGCUUUGUUGCCAGGCUAUGAAAAAGAAGAAACCCCAAGCUUCAAAACGACAAUACAAUCGACCUCAUGUCAACUAUGUUUUGAGUUUUAAUAUUGAAAUUAUUUUUUAGGUGAUUUAGACAUUCAGUAGUUUGGUUUGGAGGCAACCCAAAUAGUUGACCUGCAUCUUAGUUUGUUAUUACAUAUGAUCCAAUUUUACAGUUGCAAUGUUAUACAUUUACCUUCAUGUAAAUAGACUUCUAAGAUUAUGAUUAUGCUGGACACACGAUGAGAAUAACAAAAUCAAAGAAAUCUUCAUCUUCUGGGUUUAAGGUUUAGAAUUGGACAAUUUUUUUUUUCUUUUAUCUCAAAUUAGUUAUGAGGGUAAAGGUGUAAUUAAAAAACUUAAAAAAAAAAGGAAUGUGCAUUUAGUAUUAAGGAAUGUGUAAAUAAAAUUUGUCGAAUUUAUCCCGAAGAAAAAGCGACAAAGAAUUUGAUGCGGAAAAGGAUUGAAAUUUCCAAGUAAAACGGAGGAAAUUUCCGAGUUACACAACGUUCAUCUAACGGCACAAUUUAUCUGUUCCACGUCGGCUAACGUCCAUCCAACGGACAAAAGACUCGUUUAUCACAAAGACAAAGACAAUAAACCCCUCGUGUAAGAAGCAUAAUAGCGACAAUACCCUUUAACUUAGCUGCAUGGGUUAUGUGGUCAUGUCAACUGGGCCGAAAGAGUCUCUAUUCAAGUUUGUUAUCUCGAAUAUCGAACCCUACAAAUAGCCAACGCAAAUCGAAAACCUUUUCUUCUUCCUCAAAUCUCCUCCUCCUUUAUAAUUUUUCACACUCAGCGAGCCUCUCUCUCUCUUCCUCUCUACACCUGAAAGGUCUGUCCUCCUCUCAAUUCUCAUCUCCUUCUAUCUCUGAGAAACGUUUCCAAAGUUUCGCUUCAAUUUCUUUCAAUUGUGUUCCUCGUCUGAACUCUGUUUCCAAUCCUAUUAAUUUCGGUUUGUAAUAAUGAUAUUGUUUUAUUAAUAUUAAUUUUGUUCGUGUUUAUCUUACGGUGAUGAAUUGUAAUUCGGUUCUGAAUUUCAAAGAUACUCUCGUUAAUUAUUCAAUCAAAGAUGCCUGAUCAUCUCGAUUGUUGAUUCUAUUUAUUAUGUUUUGAGUUUUGCAGAUUAGUGGCUUGGAUAUGGGAGUGAAUGCUGUUUUUAGCUCCUUGAAGGAGAUUUUUCCCCAGGUAUUGCUUUAAUAACCUCUAAUUAUAAUGUUAUCGUCGGAUCGUUUCGGUAUAAUUGUCAUGUUUUGCCUUGUGAAACUUUAACUUGCUAUUUUGAGAUUGGGGCAUUGGAUUUGAUGUAUGGAAUGGUGGCUUUGGUGUUACGUAUUCUGAUGACGGAUUAGCAGAAAUAAUAGUUUUAUUUUGUUAAAUUCAUUGAUUUGCUUGCACCGUUUAUUUGUAUGAGUCCAGCAGAUACUAAUGGUUAUGAAAUUUCUAGUUUGAUGUUACGGAAUUGACGUUGAUUUAAUUAACUGAGAUAUCAUUAGCUUUGACGCGGUGUUUUAUCUACUAUAGUUGAGGCUUUAAGUUGAUGGAAUCUUUAGGUGGUAGGAUGUUCUUGCGAUCUGUAUUUGGUUUUGAUUCUGAUUUGCGCAUUAUGUCUUUGCACAGGUUGAUUUUCGUCUUUUGAGAGGUGUUGCUUUGGAACAUGCCAAUGACCUUGACGCAGCUGUCGAGGAUGUGCUGAAUGAGGUUCUUCCUUUCUUGACCAACCGUCCUGGAAGUCCCGCUAAGAUUCAAAGUCCUACUGGCGAACCCACUGAAGGUAUUCUAUAGCAUUUCUUGAGAAUAUCUACUGCCAUUAUAUUAUCAACAAUUAAUUGCAAUACUAGAAUGCUGCUCUUCUUUUCCUUUUUAAUGGUAAAUUUUGCACACACUUUAUUUGUGUAAAUUCUGAAAUUGUCUGUUAGGGAGUAGAAAACGUAGAUACUAACAAGUUGUCAAUUGAAAUUGCAGUUAAACCUUUGAGUAGAGAAUUGAUUCACCAACAGGUAGAGAAGGAAGUAGAGGUUGAGCCUUCUCCGGCAGUAGGAUACACCGAUUUUGAAGAUGCCAACAAUAAUGAUCAUACAGAAUUUACAAGUGCUUCCUUCCAUGAGGUUUCUACCGUGGUAGAUGACACAAGUUCAUCUCAGAAUCUUCCAGCAGCAAGAUCCCCUGAUGUAGAUAAUGCCAAAAAUACCGAUCAUACAGAAUUUACAAGUGCUGCCGUUCAUGAGGUUUCUACACUGGUAGAUGACACAAAUCCAUUGCAGAAUGUCCUGGACUCCUCAGAUGUAGAUCAAGCAAGUGGGCACCAGGAACAAGAAUGUGUGAACUCUGGAAGUAGAGAACUGGAAACCAUUGGUAAUGUUGAUGUUGAGCUUCAGCAGUCGUCAUCUGGAAUGGUGAUCAGUUCAGUACAUGAACAAGAGGGGGUUCAUGACUGUUCCAUCAAUGAGCCUUAUGAAUGGAAAGAUUUCGAUUUUUCUCAACAUGAUAGUCUAGCCGGCUCUCAUUUUGAGGGUGAAAGUUCUAUUGUUCGGCUGGAUCCUCCUUUUCCAGAACAUGUACCAGAAACCGUCCUUUCCAAGGAAGAUGAUUCUUUCUGUGAUUUGGCUGAUGAUAUGAAGGAGGCCACUACAAAUAGCAUAUGCAAUAUUGAUGUUCUUGAAGAGAGCAUUGAAGAUGCUAAACAUAACAAGGUACUAAUCUAAUAAUGGACCCUGCAUUGUUGAUGUUCUGCCCUGCAUCAUUUAUAUCAUGUUAGCAGUUUAUCAAGUAAUUGACCCUGUAUAUUUUGAAAGACUGUAAAUAUACCUGAUCCCAUUUAAUGAGAGCAGUUAUAUCUCAUAAGAAAAUAGAUUAGUUCGACAUGAUGAUGAUGUUUUGUUAGUUGUUUUUAUUGCUAGACGUAUUAGGCUUUUCUUUUUCAUUGGAUUGCUGCAAUUUGAUAGGGAUUUGAACUUCGUGCUUCAUUUCAUUUGAUACCAAAAAGGGUGUGCUCAUAAAUGUUUUGCCUAAAUUUGGGAGCUUGAACAUGAUGUUUACCAGAAAGAGCAAGUUUUUUGCAUUUCACUACUAUGAAACAGCUUCUAAAUUUGAUAAUGGUGCAGAAAACAUUGUUUUCAGCCAUGGAGUCUGUUAUCACCAUGAUGAGAGAAGUGGAACUUGAAGAGAAAGCUGUUGAUCGUGUCAGAGAGGAAGCAGCAAGGGGAGGUCAGGAUAUUAUGGUGAAGGUGGAGGAACUAAAAGACAUGUUGGCACAUGCGAAGGAUGCAAAUGACAUGGUUGUCUAUUGCUUGAUUAUGAAAUUCUGAAUUUAUUGUAUUGGUUUAUGAAUGUGUCAUCAUGAUUCAUGACUGAUGAUAGAUCUCUUGUUUUUUUUUUUUUCCCCCUCUUCUUCUUGUUAGCAUGCUGGUGAAGUUUAUGGGGAGAAGGCAAUUCUAGCAACUGAAGUUAGAGAGCUUCAAUGUCGAUUGCUCAGUUUGUCAGAUGAAAGGGAUAAGUCACUUGCAAUCCUUGACGAGGUUUCGACUCCUCUACUUCUGUUUGCUCAUUGUUUGUUAACUUUGCUAAUUAGUUGCUCAUUUGUGCUAUCUUCAUAUCAUAGUUAUUUACUCUUUUUAAAGCAGAUAAUUCAAAUAGUGGUUCUAUGAAAAGAGUAAUAGUGCUCACUUACAGUAUAUAAGAUUGUCCCCGCGCGCCUUUUGGUUUUGUUGUCGUUAAACUUCUUGUGGCUGAGCUGUACAUUUCUUACAGUUGAAAAGAUUAGGAAGUAUGUGCAGCCUUUAAAUAUAUCCUACUGAUGGAAAAGACAAUAGACAUGUUAUUUAAUUUCUUAUUUUGUUAUCUGUUAUGUAAAUGCAGAUGCGUGAAACACUUGAAGUACGACUAGCUGGAGUAGCAGAGUUGAGAAAAAUGGCCGAGGAUGAAAAGUUAGAGAAGGAAGAAUCUGCACGGAAAGCUCUUGCUGAACAAGAAGCCAUCAUGGAGAAAGUGGUCGAGGAGUCGAAGACACUGCAACAGGCAGCGGAGGAAAAUUCCAAGGUAAUAACUUUGUCCAGCAGCCAUGGACUAGACUGCAAUCUGAAAUAGUGGAUAUUAAUAGUUCUAUUUUUUCCUUAACUGCAGUUGCGGGAGUUUCUGAUGGACCGUGGUCACAUUGUAGAUAUGCUACAGUAAGUUUCUUUCUCCCUGUUUUAUCUAAUGUAUAAUCUUGAACUUUCGAUCAGAUUACAUACCUGUGGUUUAUCAUAAGCAAAAUAACAUCGAAUCACUCCUUAUGCUUGAAAUAGGAUGUAGUAAGCUGCUCUAGUGUUCUCGGUUCAGUCUGUUAAUAGUUGUACAUUCCUUUCCCUCUACUUGAAUUCUAGAAGUAUCCUCCCAGUUUCUUUCUCUGUACUGCCUAGUAUUUCUAAAAUUCUCUUAAACCAUCUUCUGCCAUAUUGCAGACAAACUAUGCAUUCUUUUAACCAUUAGACCAACCUUCUGAUGUUGUGUUAUAAAUUUGCAGAGGAGAAAUCUCUGUUAUCUGUCAGGAUGUCAAGUUGCUGAAAGAGAAGUUUGAUGAGCGUGUUCCUCUUAGCCAGUCGGUUUCAUCUAGCCAGACAAGUUGCAUCUUAGCUUCUUCAGGAUCAUCCUUGAAAAGCGUGGCGUCUGGCUUUCUUGUAGAACGAGUUGGGUCAGUUGGGUCAUCUGAGUCACUAAAGACCCUAGAGAGGGUGAGUCCUGUUGCUUCAGUUGACGGUCUCUCACCAAAAUUCAGACAAGAAAAUGAAACAAUCAAGGUGGAUAAACAAGCUCUCAUGGAAGAUGGGUGGGAUGUCUUUGACGAAGAUCUCUUGGAGUAAUAAACUCACGGCUCAAGUUAUGAAGAUCUUCAUCCAUAUGCUUUUUUUAGUAAGUUUAUAUUUCACUAGACAGCGUAUUACUAGUCCCCCUAUAGAGAUGGUGAGCUAUCUGCAGUGAAUUUAUUUUUGUACAGUACAGUUUGGAAACCAAUAAUUUAAGCUUGGAGAUUUUGAAAUUAUUCUAUAUAUAUGAGCAAUGAAAAUGCAUGGGAUCCCCGCUAAGCAACAUGCUGCAGUUGCUUUUCUUUGAAACUGUAGUUUUUUUUUUUUUUUCCUCGAAUGAGUGAGAUCGAUAAGCAGGUAAAGACGUGCAACGUUGAUGGAUUCUUUGUAACCGAGUUAUUGCCCUUCGACUAUAAUGCUGUCGCUUCUUUAUAACCCAGUUAUCUGAGAGGUUUCGUUAGGGGUACUGAUCAUCUCCAGUGAAGGCUUUGUAUUGUUCCUUGUGAUUCACCAUGGCUGUUCUUACUCUAAGAAGUUUAGUUACACUCCCAGCCCCGCUUAGGAAGAUAAACUACGUAGUUCGCUUCAGCCUAAUUUCAUGAACGAGGCCAAUUAGCAGAGUUUGGAGAACACUUUUGUAUCUGCAUCGGAACUGACCGGGUAAACAUGAGUGUUUGGAUUUGAUCAUGGUUUUAGAGAACUAUGGGAAUUGGCAUAACAUUAUUCUGCGAACAUAUAUAGUCGGACUAAGAGAUUCUUUAUAAAGCAAAAGAGCCAGAGCUUUUCAUAUCUUAUGCUACAAACCUAUUUACAGAGUCAAAAAUAGACAUUGAUUUUGAGCUUGCUAGCAAGCUAAGCUUCAUCAAGCUUUGUCUGCUACUAUAUCUUCCUAUAGUAUCAGUUAGCUCAAAACUUCACCCCCUACAACAGAACUCAUCGCAUCGAAGCGAUAGACUGAGGAAUCAAUCAUCCCAACACAGAAGCAUGACAGUGCAUCUCCACAUGAUGUAAAGCCUUCCCCUCUGCUCUUUCAAACACCUUCCCAAUGAGCCAACCUUCAAAGUACUAGUGCUUCUUCUACUACUUCUGCUCCUCCUCGUCGGGAUUUCGUUGCCGGCAGUAGCCAUAGAAUCAAAUACAAUACCAACUGGAUUAUUCUGAGUUUUGAAGGGUAGAUGGUGAACUUCAACAAGCUGAGGAAAAUGGAUGUGUUGGGAGAGCUAUAAGGAGCAAGGUCUUAAAUAGAUGUACUGAGAUAUUGAGGGAGAGUGGAGAAGGAGAAGUGUGAGGUGAGAGAGGAGAGAACAUUAUGUGUGGUGGUGGUUGACAUAUGUUGGCCUCUGGUUGGCCCUAUGGGGCAAUUACAUCCCUCCUGUGAUGGCUAUAUGACAAGAGCGUAUACUUUUUUAUACAGCGACUAGGUAAUGGUUGUCGUCUCAUUGCUCUGCCGAACCCUUUGGAUAGGUACCUCUCAUCGACUCUUACCUUUGGAGGGGUCAUCCCUGUCCUUGAAAUUUAAACCUGCAUGCAUGCUCACACCUACCUGCAUAUAUGUUCCUUUCGGUCUAAUUAGUAUUUGAUCCAAAGAAUGAUUAGCUAUCAGGUUUUUCUAGUGAUAACCUUUAAGUUGAAGCCUAAUUGAUGACUUUUCAGUUUAUGGUUUAAAAGACUUAUUUUCGAUCACAUCUUGACAUCUCAUCCGUUCAAUUUGUAAGUCUAUAUGUAUAGAUCAACCCUACAAAUUUUCAGCAAAAUCGGUGAUCGUUAAGGUAACAAACUAGAUUAAAUUAAUAGACGAACUAAAUCUGUCAAACAUGAACCGUUCAAGUUCAUAAUUGGUAAAUAACAAUUAUGAAUGUCUUAACGAUUUUCAAUAUGGCUGAAAAUUUGCAGGAAUGAUCUACUCAUAAAUAUCUAUAAACUAAACGGUCAAUAUGUGGAUAUAAGAUCGAAAAGUGGGAUAAGCCAAAAAAUUCUCAACUAGUCCUCAAUUUAAGAAUAAUCACUAUAAGGAUUUUAUAGCUCUUAAAAUACAAUCAUCAUAGCAUAUAUACUGGUACCUACCUGCAUUCAUGCACUGAUUAUAGUUCUUCUUUUAGGACAUUUCUGACUCUCGGAAUGAGAUGAAAGAAUAAUUAAGUUUGUGCUCUUUAGCUUUGACUUUUUUGUCGAAUUACUUCGUUUUCUUUAAAAUAAUUCAUCAAACACUUUUCUAACUUUUUACGUACGCUUUCUUUACUUUUUUUAAUUUCACUUCUCUUUGAAACACUUCUAUAUGACAUAUAUAAACAUCGGAAUGGAUCCACUAAUUCUAUAUUAAUUGAAAAUUGUACGUCCAAUUAGUUGGUUUUUCGGUUGUAUGACUCACCAAAACUUUUUCCUAAUAAUGUCAAAGUCAAAAUUAGAAGUGAUGAAUAUCUAAUUAGAGACUAAUAGAUUAGUGAUUAGGGAAGUAUAAUUAUAAAACCAUGCCAUUUGGAACACCGAAAGAGUGGCACACGUAUUACCUCAGUUUGGUAGUCCUACAGAUAAUCCUUAAUAUUUCCAUCAGUUAUCAUCAUGGUCAUGAUAUCAUUUUCUUUAUUCACCUCAAGAUAUAAACGUCCAUGUAGUUCCUACUUCCUACAUCAUCAGAGUAUUAUAAUCGUUAGGUGUUUCAUUCAUCAGAAGCAUAAACACAACAACAGCUGCAAUGGUCUGCUAAAUCGGAGCCUUAUAUUUAGAACAAUAUCGGUGUGUGUCGGCGUGACAUCUCCGAUCGAUAAGUGAUAUAUAUCAAAGGAAAAUUCUUAUAAAAAAGCUGGACGAUUAAUCAACAACAAUUAGCUUAAGGCAUGUAGUGUUCUCUUAACGAACAGAGUGAUGAUUCAACUUCAUAUGUAGUUUCGAGUUGGUUGAAGAAGUUGUAGAUUAUACAGUAGGUUAGCUAGAUUGGGAAGAGAACCAUAUCCUAGGGUUUCAAAUUAGCAAUGUGAAACUCUUGUAGCCAACUCUCUAGGUUAUGGAAAUUAAUUUGUAGCAUAUCGAUCAUGAAGAAUAUUCGUCAAAGAAAACUCUUGGAUUAAUUAGCACAAUUGUCUAACUAUGGAUCCAUUGCAAAAUUUUCAAUGAUCCAUCUAUCAAAAUUUUCAUAUAACUUGGUAGGAAAUUAUCAAUAUCCAUAAAGAUAGGGUAGGAAAUUAGUCAAACUACUCCAAACCAAAUCUCAAAUUCAUUGCAUAUGAUUUGGAACACGAAACAAACAUUGCCAAGCAAUUCACAUUCACAAUUUAACAACCCUACUAGAGCCCACGUAUAGCUAUCAAGAAUUCAAGAUGCACAAACAGACGAGUACAAAGGGGGCCAAACACACCCUCCCUCCGCUCCAUUUCACGUGCACCAUGUCGAGCUUCCUCCAUCUCAGAAUCACCUCUGGUCAAACCGACAUGCCGGCCACUUAUUCACAUCACCGGCGCACCACGACAAGUCUAUCAGUAAUUCAGUACCGAACCCGAUCGACUGCUGAAUCAAACUACUCCACCAAUAGCUAGCUCCUCAAACUUGGAGAGCCACGUACUCAAUGACUUGACCAGGAAGGCUUAGCCCUACUUGCAUGGACUUUAAGGCAACACUCAGAGUGAUCCCUCGCCUUCAAACAACAACCUCUCAGAAGAAGCUGUACUGUAGAAAGUGUGAUACCACCGCAGACAUGUUGGGCCACCGGUGCCUUCAGAUCGAGAGCACGGCAAGUUGGUCUGAAAAUGUAUGUCGUUUUUCUCUGUCCAAGUGCUGCAGUGGGAGCAAUGCUAAUAAUGCUUCCUUAUCUGGACCAAGUGAUGAGAAUCGAUACGUGACAAUAAUGUACGCAGAAGAAUACUUCACGUACACUUGUGUUGUUCAUGGUGAUGGAAACUCACGUGGAAAUGAAGUAAAGGAGAGGAGGUGGAGGCUCGGAUUCUUUGUCUUAUAACGAAUGGGAAUGUUUGUGUUUCUGCCAAUAUUUGGGAUAAAAAUACAAGCUGUCGGAGAAACGAAAAGAAUAUCUCAAUUUGCUACAAAGAAACGCGUAUCGCUUGUUGUAUGGAUGUUCAAAAUGACCCAGUGUUCAGUUAAGUGUGGGGGAUAGAAACUAGGAGGAAAAAAUGGGAGAAAUUGAGGUAGAGGUGGGUAUGGGGAGAAUAAGCGCUUCGGCAUAUUUUUUUUUCCACUCGGUCAGCUUCGUCUUGGUGUUGUCUGGUCGGAAUGUACGAGGAGGCUCACGAGAUGGCGGCUGCAGCGAGCUAGGAAAGGCAUGAUGGGUAGUACAGUGGAGAGGACUGUUAUUUUUGAUCUCCUUUUGUUUGAUUGUUUUUCAUUCUGUUACAUAUUUAGGAUGCCUUGUUUAGCAUGCAAUUUGAUUUUAAGACCGUAUAGGCACUUUAAGAUCAGCUCAAUCUUGUCGUGGCCCUCUUUUGGGUGAGCUAGUUACUCUUUAAAAUCUGGAAGAAAGUGUAUUAUUAGUGAAAGUCAGGAUACGAACUGGGAGAAAUGGGGAGAGCUAUGAGGCAAGCAAACGAUGAGAGGUAGGCAGAGGUUACUUGGCAAGCAAACCAUGCAUGAAUGGCAUAGGUAGAAUUGCAACGAGACAAUGACAUUUUUUUAAAAUUUGAAAGAAGUACAAGGAUAAACAAGCCUACCAUAUUAUGAUUACCAUCUAUCGAACUCUAGCAACUGUAACUAGCAAAAUUUGAGGACUAACACGCUUCGUUUAUAUAGCGAGGGGCCAAGGAUUUUUAUCAUUUUCUUUUUUUUGGUUACAAGGAUUUUUAUCAUUUUAAGAGCUUGAUACUGAUGUGAUUUAUUUUCAAGGUCUAAGCUUAAAGAGGAAUGGAUUAUGCUUCAAUAAAUGAUGCUUCCAACUAUUCCAGGGAAACUCGGUGGUUGUGAAUCAGGCACUGUACUGCAGUAUGUGGGUUGACAAUGGAGUUUAAGGGAAAUAUACAGCUAACCGAAGCAUCUCAUUUCCUUUCAAAAUGCUUGAGCAACUAUGGAAUUUCAAUGGUACUUAACCACGGUUUCACUUCACAGGACUGGCCAAGGGGUGUAACAGGGCAAUUCAUAUUAUCAUAUAAGUAAUCAACCUGAUGUUUACUGCUCUGGUGCUAGGGUGCUACACACAUAUACAACAUUUGAAGCAUAAAAGAAACAACAGGGCUAUCAUUUUCACGCAUUUUGGAUCAAAACUGGGACCUUCCUAAAAGGGUAGCAACAUACAAUUUAUAACAAGAAGUCGGUAGCCAAAACUGUAGCCUCAACAUACACUACAUCAACAAUAUAAACCCAAGAGGGCAAUCAAAUGCACUGCGCGCACAACAUAUACCUGAAUAUGAAGUUCAAGCAACAUAUAUAUAUAUAUAUAUAGAGGCCGGAUGAGGAGCGGACNNNNNNNNNNNNNNNNNNNNUAAUCACGGAAGUUUCAACAACUUAGCAUGUCAAUGCUUUUUAACAUGUCUUCAAAUGUGGCAUUGGGCAAUGAUUAACUAAAUCAUGCCGUAUUGUCCUCAAAUGAUCUUUUACACUUAGAUCUUGAGGAGAAGGUCGCUUGUGAACUCAAAACAUAAGUUCGUGCAGGAAAUCAGGUUUCCGCGCAGCAUGACCUUCAAUUACUAGAACAGUCGUAACUUCUUCUAGGAAAUACAUAUGAACGAACCGUAAACGGUUUUGGAAACUAGACUCAUUUAGCUUUCCAACCGUAUAUUACACACAUUCUGGUUCAUCAGGAGAUGUUCACAAAAUCCCGUCGAAGUUGACUGUUUUGCCAAAAUCAGAUUCUCGGACAGAUUCGUCCUACUUUACGAAAACGGCCAUAACUCACUCAAUAUGAUAGGUAUGAUCAAAUGGUUGGUGUUCCUGGAAAGUAGACACAUAGACCUUUCCAAUGGUACCAAUUUCACCAUUUUCCAGUGAGUGAGAUUUUUUAUAGGUCCCGUGGAAGUUGACCUACAAAACUUGGCAGAUUCUGAUUUCUCUUUUGAUGUGUCUUUCUUAUGUAGGGAUAGAAUAAGCCUCAACCUUUCAUACCAUUAAGUAUUGAAAAAGGAGUUACUGCCAUUAUAUUGGCGUUGCGUGUGCGCAUAGCUACACUUAGCUUUACAACUUUUCAUAGCGAAUGAGAUGUCAAGUCUUUCGUAUUGUGUUGAUUACAUUGAUGCGUCUUAUUGUACUUAGAUGGUAACUCCAUCUCUUAACACAUAUUUGUCAUCUUGCUUUAGACAAAAUAACGGAUCUCUCUUUAGAGCAAAGACCUUGACUAAUCAUGGGAGUAUAUGUAGGCCUCACUAGUUAUAGAGCGCCUAAGCCGAUUGAUGGAAAAUCAUCAUCAAUACAGUCAUCGAGUGCCUUAUCGAGACCAUGUCUUCCCAAGAUCUUUUUCUUUGGAUGUUGAUACAUAUUGGCAUCUCUUGAUCCAUCAAGAGUCCAUGUAAAUCCGGAAUGAACACGCAAAGGCAUAAUUCAUCAUAUCCCUUCCAAAUCAAGUAGAGUCCAUGUGCGUUUCAAUACAUUUAGCAAACGCGUGCUCCUGUGGUCUGGAGCCACUUGAUUCAGAUGAAUGAAGUCCGUGUAAGAUCUUCAUGUAUAUCUCUGAUCCCAUAGAGAUGUUAUUAUGACCACAUUCAUAGGCUGCAUGUUCAGUUAUUCGGAAACUACCAAACUCACAAAGUAGUGGAGUUCAAUGACAUCCAUUACGAGAGCAUAUCUCAUCGUAGUUGAUCCUAGUGCGUGAUAGUGAGAGACCUUGCGCCAUAAGGUGAGUCUAAACUCUUAUUCUCACUACGCUAUCUAACAAACGUAUAGUUGAUAGGGUUUAGCUUGCGGUGUCGGCAUCACCUGCCCAAAGAACUAUCUCUUUGUUAAUGCUGGAUCGCAUCUUUCCAUUAGGCCAAUCAACUAAGUUGAUAUUCAUCAACGAUGGGUGGUUCAAUAGUAGACUCAUUAUCCCACGUCCUCAUGUACACUAGUGUAAUACUUGUAGAGAUCUCUAUAUGGAUUGGAUUUGACAUUGAGGCGUCCCCCAACGAUAAUCACAAUUCAGACUUCAUGAGACGGAUUUGAGUAUCACUGAUCAAUGGAUCAGGUUGUGCCAAGCUCGCUUUCUUUCUAGUGCAAGACAAUAUCGAACCUAAGGGCCUCCCUCCUUUUAGGGAGCCACACAGCCUUGUGACACCAAUUUUUACCACUAUAUGGCGUCACCAUAUCACUAUUCAUGGUGAUGGCGUUAAGACCAACACCUUUUGGUCGCGCCAUGUUCUUUUGUAGGACAUCAAUCCUUGCAGACAUAUUUGCAGCAUGUGAUCUCGUCACUUUAACACUUUAAGCAUUUGGGAUCAAGAUGAGACUUAGUGGGGACAAACCAUGACAAUUCACGUCGUUCCACUUGAACACUUGUGUUCUUAUCUCCCCCUAACGGCGGGAAUAUUGUCUCAUCAAAGUGACAAUCCGCAAUUUAGCGGUGAAUGAGAUCGCCUGACAAGGUUCCUACAUAUGCGGAUUAUAGGUGGAGGUUCAUAUCCAACCUAAACUUAUUCAUCUCNNNNNNNNNNNNNNNNNNNNGUGCGGACGUCCGCUUCACGUCUCUGCUAUAUAUAUAUAUACACACAGCUGAUUAGGUGCGGACGUCCGCACCAAAGUUUUGGUGCGGAUUUCUAUUUUUGCACCACAUUUGGUGAUCGUUAAGGCCCUCAAAAUCGAAAAACAAAUCGACGGCCUGUAUUCUGUCUAGUUCAGGUAUAUAACAGAAAAACGCAAGUUUGAGGGCCUUAACGAUCACCAAAUUGACUAAAAUUUUACAGAGAUGAUCUAGAUAUGUCUAGAAAGAAGUUUGAGGAAAUUCGAUCGGGAAGUGGUGCAAAAAAUGGAAAUCUGCACCAAAAACUUUGGUGCGGACGUCCGCACCUGAACAGCUUUGUGUGUGUGUGUGUAUAUAUAUAUAUAUAUAUAUAUAUAUUUAGUGAUGAAGUUGAUCAGGACACGAACUUUGGAGAGCAAUGAGGCAGAUAAACAAUGAGAAAUAGGCAGAGGGUAAUUGGCAAGCAAACCAUGAAGGAUAGGUAGAACCGCAAGGGAGUGAUCAUAUGACCUUUUUCCAAUUUUAGGUCACUGAUACCCUGCCAGGAAAGAUGUGCAUCCAAACAAGGAACCAAUGAAUUUGAGGUCUUAACUUGUUCCCAACUACAAAAUAUGCAAACGGAUGCAUAUUGUGACUUGAAAAAGAAAAUCCAAAUCAAAUAUGGAAAUACCAGAAAAUCCUGAGAAUACAAACACUUUUCGAUGCAGUUCACUAACUAGUAAUUUCAGCUAAUAAAAGUAACAGAAAGUGAACUAAUUAAACAUCCCAGGCAAAUUGCUUAAGAAAUUGUUUAACGAUUAAAAUAAGCAUAUUUAUGAUAUUCCCAGGGAGAGAUAAAAGCAUCCGGCAUCAGGAUUAACUAUAAGAAUUUCCCACAGAGAAAUAGAUAGAAACUAAUAGAAAUAUAAACAUAUAGACUCCAAAUUUGCUUACACAAUAGUAGCUAGGGUUGCAAACAUAAGAGCAAUUAUGAUAACAUGAUCGUUUGCUUGGAUUGGCAACUGCAGGCAGGGUCUAAAUUCUCAGGCCAUCGGGGAAAAAUCUUGCGAGAAGCAUCGUCUCAAGUCUUUCCUCAGCAAGUAUUGCCUCUCCUGGCGUUUGGUCUGGGGGCGCGUUUUUAGCUAUUUCAAACAUCCCCAUAACAAACUCUUGGUUCAUGAGCUUAGUUUUCCUUAUGGAUUCCACAACUAGACGCAUCCUUUCCCUCUCUUCAGCUUCUUCCGGUGAUAUGCUUUCAUUCUUAGCUGCUAUUUCCAACCUCUCACGCAACUACUGGGCUUCCAUGACCUCAGUUUCCCUUAUCGAUUUCAAUUCACGAAACCUCUUUUUCCUUUCUUCCACCCAUCUCCUUUCAUUCUCAGAGGUUUCAACACCUGCAUAUACAUCUGUGUGUGGUUACUUCAAAUUCAUCAAUUUCAAGCCAUCAACACAACAUACUAUGAUCCAUAAUUUCACCCAGCAUAUGAUCGAUAAUUUCACCCAUAAUUAAACCUAUGAUCAAUCAAUCAUUCAUCAUCAACCGUACGUAAAGGAAUCCCGACUCGGAUCUCAGGCGACCCGAAAUUUGGGGUUUUGAUAAGAUUUGAGAUGUUAGAACCAAAUCAGAUCUGAGACCUAGGGUUGUUGACAAAGAAACUUAUACCGAAUUACUGAUUAAGAAAUAAACCUGAAAACCAAAAACUUAUUUAUAACGAAUUAACUCACCUUCAUCGAUUGCGUUUCUGGAAAUCACAACGUUCGACAUCCCGACUCUCCGAUUUCUCUCUUCUCUUUCGGUUGAUUUUUUCUUGACAAGAAGUGAGGACUAACACGCCGGGGUUUAGAUCCAAAAGCAAUUGACAAUGGAUGAAGCAGCCCAAACCCUUUUAUAAACCCAUAGGCCCAAGGUCCCAUAUUUCCGACGUGGGAUUGAUAUCUCAACACGCCCCCACACGUGUGACAAAUUUUCAAGCCUAACACAUGUACAACACCCAAUGUCUCAUAUUCCCGAUGUGGGAUUAAUUUCUCAACACGCCCCCACACAUGUGACAAAUUUUCAAGCUGAACACGUGUACAACAUUUAGUUUUCAAGCCUAACAUGUAUACAACAUUUAGUUUUCAAGCCUAACAUGUGUACAACAUUUAGAGUGACGUGGAGUGUGUAUGACUAUAGGGCUUCACACAUGGACGUGGGUAACCCGCUCUGAUACCAUACCAUGAUAAAGUAGUCUGGGGUUCACAUCCAAAACCAAUUGACAAUGGAUGGAGUAGCUUAAAUCUUUAUAAACCCACAGACAAUGUCUCAUAUUCUCAAUGUGGGAUUGAUAUCUCAACACACGCUUCAUUUAUAUAGUGAGCAAAUUAAGGUUUUUUUUUUAAUUUUUUUUUUAAUUAAAAGGGAUUUUUUUUAUUAAGAGUGAGAUUUGGACACCCUUUUCCUUUUGUUACAAUUCAUAUAUUUUUAUCAAAAUCAAAGAGUAAUUUUUUUUUUUGGGAAAAUUUUAACAAGAGUACGUAUAUACAUGACGCAUGAGCCACUGAGAAUUAAGAUGAAUAUACUUUACAAAACAUCACAAUGAUACAUGAAGUUCAAAAUCCGACUCAACAUGUAACAUACCGUCAAUUUGACCGUUAGUCUAUCUGAUUCCGUUAAUUUUAUAAGGGAAAAUUCGUCUCUUCAGUAGUGAUAAUUAAAAAAGGAAAUAGAAAAAAAUAAAAAAAUAAAAAACAGAAAAUGGAGAUGAGGGCCCAAUUCGUGGCUUCAUUGUUCUGCAUCUACCGAAGUGGCCAAACCCUUUAUCAUCUUCUCCAAACACCAAUCAAAUUGAAAUAGAUACUAGGAUUUUGCAUCAGUAGUGAAUAUCGUACGGCGAGCAAGGGGAGACCGAACACCCAUGAAACUAAUAUGGACACCCUUCUCAUCGUCUUCAAGCACAGACCUCGCAAGUGAUCUCGGAUCCGGAAUCAAAUCCAAACCUAUAACUGUCUCACCUCCCUCAAAAAUCGAAUUGUCUUGAUCAUAGUUACUGAAUCAAGCCUGACCCUUCCAAAAUCUGGGUUUGCUCGGAGAGGGAGAAAUUGGGUCGUGGGUCGUCGGAGAGGAGAAAGAGAGGGGUCUUGGAAGGAGUGAGGGAGAGAGAAAUUGGGCAGUGGACUCGCCGAAGAGGGAGAGGACUUGUGGGUCUUAGAUGGAGAGAGAUCAAGAGAAAGAUUGUGUGUAGAAAGACUAAAUUGCCCUUUCAAAAAUUGAUAAUGGCACAAGGGUUAAUGGUGUUAUUGACGACAUGUACUAAAAAUGUAUAGGAUUAUCAACCUCAUGUACCAUUAUGAUGUUUUAUAAAGUUGAGUAACCUUAAUUCUCAGUGACUCAUAUGUCAUGUACUCUUGUAAUUUUUUUUUUUAAAUAUAAUAGAUAAUUUCAUUACGAGAAGUUUUAAAUACACAUUUUUUAUCUCUUAAUACACACUUCUUACUAAAUACACCACUUAUUUAUUUUUUCCAUUUCAAUAUUUUGCUAAAUACACACCUACGAUACGAUUAUCAAGAAUACCUUUAAAUUUAUAUAAAACCAAGAUUUCCUAUUACUGUACGUAAUAUCAAAGAUUUGUAUAUGCCUUUGCGUGUUCAUUCCGGAUUUAUAUGAACUUUUGAUGGAUCAAGAGAUGCCAAUAUGUAUCAACAUCUGAAGUUAGAAUGAAAAAGAUCUUGAGAAAACAUGGUCUCGAUAAAGCACUCGAUAACUGUAUUGAUAAUGAUUUUUCAUCAAUUGGCUUAGACGCUCUAUAACUAGUGAGGCCUACAUAUACUCCUACGAUUAGUCAAAGUCUUUGCUCUAAAGAGAGAUCCGUUGUUUUGUCUAAAGAAAUAUAACAAAUAUGUGUUAAGAGAUGGAAUUCUCAUCUAAGUACAAUAAGACGCAUCAAUGUACUCAACACAAUAAAAAUGUACUUGACACAAUAAGAAAGACUUGACAUCUCAUUUGCUAUGAAAAGUUGUAAAGCUAAGUGUACUUAUACGCCCACGCAACGCCAUUGUAAUGGCAGUAGCUCCUUUUUCAAUACUUAAUGGUAUGAAAGGUUGAGGCUUAUUUUAUCCCUACAUAAGAAAGACACAUUAAAAGCGAAAUCAGAAUCUACCAAGUUUCGUAGGUCAAAUUUCACGGGACGUACAUAAAAUCUCACUCACUGAAAAAUGGUGAAAUUGGUACCAUUGGAAAGGUCUAUGUGUCUACUUUCCAGGGACCCCAACCAUUUGAUCAUACCUAUCAUAUAUUGAGUAAGUUAUGGCCGUUUUUGUAAAGUAGUACGAAUCUGUCUGAGAAUCUGAUUUUGGUAAAACAAUCAACUUUGAUGGGACUUUGUGAACAGCUCAUGACGAACAAGAAUGUAUAUAAUACACGGUUGGAAAGCUAAAUGAGUUUAGUUUCCAAAACCGUUUACGUUCGUUCAUACGUAUUUUUUAGAGGAAGUUACGGCUGGUCUAGUAACUGAAGGUCAUGCUGGGCGGAAAUUUGAUUUCUUACACGAACUUACGUUUUGAGUUCACAAGCGGCCUUCUCCUCAAGAUCUAAGUGUAAAAGAUCAUAUUUGAGGACUAUACGACAUGAUCUAGUUAAUCAUUGUCCAAUGCCACAUUUGAAGAUAUGUUAAAGAGCAUAUAACACAAACAACUCUUCAUCACCUUGUAAAUUGACAUAAUGAAGAAUAAAAAUGACUCAUUCACUUUAUAACACAAACAAGUCAUCCUACUGUAAAUUGACAUAAUGAACAAUAAAAACAACUCAUUCACCAAAAGAGAAAGCUGAUUCUUACGGUAAGCCCGUCUAUCAACUUUUUCUUCUUAAAGUCACCGAGGCAUUCCCAGUUUUGGCCGAUAAUUUGAUUUUGGAUCGAAUAAUGCAACCAAUGCUAUUGACCAAGAGGUUGUUCACUGCUGAUGAAGACGGUCCUCUGAUGAAGUCGUCAUACACAUAUUCGAUCUUCCUGGUGUAUUUCACAAUUCGUUUGACUUUGUCCAGGUUGCCGAACCCUCAUCGGCAUUUUGGGGGAGGUCCCGUGGACUUCUUAGUACCACAUCGAACACUACAACCAUCGGACAACGUCUCUUGAGCUUCUGGUGCGACAUCGUCGAUCUCGUCCUCAUCCAAUGGGGGAGCUGUUUCGGCAAUCGAUACUGGUGAUGGAGGUGGAGUUGUUUCACCAUCUCCCAUCGGUGACUGGUCAGAAACAUCUCCCGUCGACCCCGUCGUAUUCUCUGUCGUGCAGGAACCAUAUCGGGUUGUACAUGCCACUUGUAAUCUCUCAGAUGCAAUUUCCCUGGCCCUUUUCUUCGUCAAUGGUGGCAUGCUUGGGAUAUAGUAGGAUUGAAACUGGGUUUAGAUGGUAGAGGGGAGAGCAAAGUCGAAUUGGGAUUGACGAUUGAAAUUGGGAGAGAAGUCGGGGAGGCGAAGGAGGCAAAUUGGGAUUUGGGUUUAGGGUUUCGAAACUGGGGAGGCGAAUUGGGAGGGCGAAGGAGUGUGAAUGCGAAAUAGGGAGUGAAACUGGAUUUGGGUAUAUUUGAUAUGGAUCAAGCGACGAAACCCGUUAUUUUGUGACCCAAUCUAGGUAUUCGAAUUUGGCCCAAAUAUUUGGCGCGCAACUCAGCCGCGCUAAUUUUUAGGCCCUUUGCGACGAAUAACACUUUUUCGUCGCUUAGGAAAUGUCUGGAGCGACAAAUUUAGGCUUUUUCGUUGCAAUAUUUGAGAUUGAUGUAUAUUUUCAUUAAAUACAUUUAUUUAAUAAUUAAUCGUUUAACAGUACAAAUACAUAUGUUUUACAGUACAAUGUGAUAUGUUCACAUGCAAAUCAAAAGAGGUCUAAUAAUUUAGUACUCAAUCGCUAUCCUUGUAAUCCGGAUCUUUUAGAUCAUCCUCAGAAAUUUCAUCUAAAUCUUCAUCUUCAUCGUUAAUGAAGUCUUGACUAGGUGGAAUGUACGGCGGUGAACCGAAAUCGAACCCUAAACCUAAAAUUAGAAUGUACUCGCCUUGUGGGAAGUGAAUGUCAUUGUUGAUGGGAAUAGUGCUUGUGUCGGGGAUGUCAGAGGUUAAAGGCUCUUGAUAUGGUUUAAGAGCCACAUUCUCAAUAUCUUGUUCGACCCGGCCCCCUUAAAGUGUGGUUGUGUUAAAGAUACUUGUAUGCUUUAUCACGUUAACUACUUUCCAACCCCUACCAGCUUUUGGAUCAUCAAGAUAAAACACUUGUUUUGCUUGAAUGGUAAGCACAAACGGGACAUACUCAUAUCAACUUGUGGAUGUAUUCACUGAUAAUAGCCCGUGAUUCAUCUUUGUACUUCUUGAAACAUUUGGGUCAGUAUUGAACCAUCUACACUUGAACAACACAACUGGCAUACCUACUGGAUAUAGUAGUUCGAUGACGGCAACAACAAUCCCGUAGUAUGCAACUUUAUCCUUACCUAUUAUCAUGAUGUCAUUAUUCUGUGUCUUCUGGCGUUGAUCUCGUCGUUCUGUCAAGAACUUAACACCGUUGACCACACAAGCCGCAUAAACAUUAUGUCCUUGUGGCAUACACGCCAAAUGAUGCAACUGCGGAGAGUAAUACCUGCUAUUUUGUUCUUGCAUCCUCGUCAACUACAAACAAAUGAAAAUAUAUAGUUAAAAAUCAUGAUCACGUACGGCAUGAGCUUCCCCCAAUUAUGAAAUGAGGAGAUUAAACGUACCCAUUUUAAGAAAUAUGCAUGAAACGUUUUCUUAUGUCUCUCUUCAUGCCUAUUCUGAUACUUAAGUUGAACAAGUCCCAAAUGAGCAUCUCUAUAUUCCUUGACUUCGUCACAAUGUUGCAGUACCCACCAAUGAGCCUCACAUAACUCAUCUUCUCUUAAAAUUUCUGAAUUUGGUAAGUUACCAAACAUUCUUAUAUCUUCAUAGACAAUUGAGAGGUUGAAUGUAGGUGUGAUUGUCGGGUCGAGUGAUUAUGUGUCGUCUGUAUUAUGAAGAUAUGAGUUGCAAUACGUUACACACUCAUGCAUUAGCUAUUGAUCCUUCCGGUUUUGAUAUGUUUUUAACAAAGCAUUUAUACCCACCAAGUUGUCUAAAAAGAAAAGAAGUUUUGACAGCACCGGUACCCCAACUUUUGUGGCACGGUCAAAGUGGUACUCAUACUUUAAAAACUAUCAAUGUGGUACCCAAACUCCUAUUUCGCUACCAAGGAAAGGCCUGAGGCUAAUUUCCGUCACGGUGCCGUUUGUUUGCUGACGUGGCCGGCAUGGGCCCCACAAAAAAAAGGGCAAAAAGGACAUUUUACACGAUAUGCACCCAAAUCGAGUCAAAACUCGACUUCCCUCCCCCCAUCUCCUCUCGAACUCUCUGUUCUCUUCUCUCUUCUCUCUUCUCUCUGAAACCGUAUCAGGACUAAAUCGCACCUGCAUGUUCAUCACUUUUUCUCAGAAAUAUUCGAUCAAAGAAGGGGAAGCAGAGAUUCGCUACUUUUGAAGAGAUUCGACUGCAAAGAGUCAUGGAGAGUAGAAAGAUGUUUGGGAUUUUUAAGGAAUCUGGUCCCCCAAUACAAGACAGUAAGUUUCUUCUCUCUUUUCGAAUCUCUCUUUCGUAUUCUUCUGAAUCUUAUCUUACUCUUCGUCGUGUAUUGUUCUUCUUGGCAUAAUCAUCGAAUUUGGGGUUAAAAAUUGGUUAACUUCGAAUUAGGGAUUUAUUUAGUUUAGGGAUUUUCAGGUUAGUGGUUAAUAAAGAAUGGAUUGAAGGUAAUCGAUCAAUGCGUUCUGGGUUUUUAAAGGGUUUUGUUCUUGGACUAUUGUUGAAGACUUCGAAUUAUGGUUUUCUUUUUCAAUUAGUUUAGGGAUUUUCAGGUUAGUGGUUGAUAAAGAAUGAAUUGAAGGUAAUCAAUCAAGAUGAUGUGUUCUGGGAUUUUAAAUGGUUUUGUUCUUGGACUGUUGUUGAGGACUUCGAAUUAGGGUUUUUUUUAACUUUUUUUUUUUUUAUUCUAGGAAACCAAUUCAAAAAGGCAAAGCUUACAAUACUCUGCAUUGUUUGAAUUUUAGUUCCAGUACACUUGUAUACCAUGGAGAUUUUCCAUGGAGGUUAUUUCGACAAGCAAUUGGAUGGCACGAAGAAGUACAAGGUACCCAGGUUCAACAAAACAAGGGGAAGAUUUAUUUGGAUGGGUUGGAUCCGGAGAAAAUUUCAUGGGUGGAGAUGAACAACAUCGCAUAUACAUUAGGGUAUAGGGAGAAGCCAAUAUCCUAUCACUUCAAAGUUCCAAAAACCCCUGCAAAUAUGGGGUUUAUUCAGAUAAAAAGUGAUGGUGAUGCUAUAGAGAUGGUGAAUGCAAUACCAAAGAAGAAGAGGCAGAUUUCUGUGUACAUCACAGGUGGAGGGAAAAGGAAGUAUCAUGAAGCUCUAGCUGAUUUUGAUAGGCCUGAUGACCUGGAUUGGGAGAAUCCUUUGAAUAGCCAAACUGCUAGAGAUAAGGAGAGAGCUGCUUUUGAAGUUAAUUUGAUGGCAAGUCAGUUAUAUAGUAGUAAGGAGGGAAUGCCUCCAAGAUUUGAAAAUUUUGAUGUGGUUGUAGAUGCUGUGCCACUACAGGUCAUUUUAGGACCAACAAUUGACUUGGAUGAUGUUGUGGACUUAGAUGGGGAUGUGGAUGAUGUAAAUGGGGAUGGUGAGGAGGUAUAUGGGGCUGGUGAGGAAUUAAAUGGGCCUGUUAAGGAUGUAAAUAAGGCUGGUGAUGAAGUAAAUGGGCCUGGACCAAGUCAAGGAACCUUUGCAGGUUUGUCUGAUCUUGUGAGUGAUUUGCACAUGGGUGAAGAAACAACAUUUAAGCAGUCUAGUGAGAAAGUAGCUGAGAAAAGAGAAAGAAGGGUGAAACAUUGUGUCAGAAGACCUUGGCCUCUUGGUUUUAAAGAUGACCUGGCAAGGGAACUUGAAGAGAUAAGACAGAAAGAGAGAGGUGAAGCUGAUAGGAGAGAAAGAGAAGAGUUGGAUGAAUUAGCUAGAGUAGAGACUGAGUUGAGAGAAAGCCAAACUGAAAAUGGACUUAGCAGAGAAGAAAUUGAGACAAGUGCAAGAGAAGCAGAAGAGAAGAAGAAACAAGAAGAGAGAGAGAAAGCAGUUAGAGAAGAGGCUGAAAAGAAAGAGAGAGAAGCUGCCGAAAAGAGGGCAUCUGAGGCAUUUAAAGUGAGGCAGCAGUUAGCUGAUGAGUUGGAGGNNNNNNNNNNNNNNNNNNNNNNNNNNNNNNNNNNNNNNNNNNNNNNNNNNNNNNNNNNNNNNNNNNNNNNNNNNNNNNNNNNNNNNNNNNNNNNNNNNNNNNNNNNNNNNNNNNNNNNNNNNNNNNNNNNNNNNNNNNNNNNNNNNNNNNNNNNNNNNNNNNNNNNNNNNNNNNNNNNNNNNNNNNNNNNNNNNNNNNNNNNNNNNNNNNNNNNNNNNNNNNNNNNNNNNNNNNNNNNNNNNNNNNNNNNNNNNNNNNNNNNNNNNNNNNNNNNNNNNNNNNNNNNNNNNNNNNNNNNNNNNNNNNNNNNNNNNNNNNNNNNNNNNNNNNNNNNNNNNNNNNNNNNNNNNNNNNNNNNNNNNNNNNNNNNNNNNNNNNNNNNNNNNNNNNNNNNNNNNNNNNNNNNNNNNNNNNNNNNNNNNNNNNNNNNNNNNNNNNNNNNNNNNNNNNNNNNNNNNNNNNNNNNNNNNNNNNNNNNNNNNNNNNNNNNNNNNNNNNNNNNNNNNNNNNNNNNNNNNNNNNNNNNNNNNNNNNNNNNNNNNNNNNNNNNNNNNNNNNNNNNNNNNNNNNNNNNNNNNNNNNNNNNNNNNNNNNNNNNNNNNNNNNNNNNNNNNNNNNNNNNNNNNNNNNNNNNNNNNNNNNNNNNNNNNNNNNNNNNNNNNNNNNNNNNNNNNNNNNNNNNNNNNNNNNNNNNNNNNNNNNNNNNNNNNNNNNNNNNNNNNNNNNNNNNNNNNNNNNNNNNNNNNNNNNNNNNNNNNNNNNNNNNNNNNNNNNNNNNNNNNNNNNNNNNNNNNNNNNNNGAAGGAGAAAAAAAGGGGAAGCAUCAUGUUGUUGGAAAAAAAUCUAAGAAGAGUGGAUAUGGGAGGAACCCUGAAGCUGCAAGGUACAACACAAGGAAUAAGGGAAAAAAGCACUUCAGCCUGGAGAGGAAGAAGACACUGAUGAUUCAGAGCUAAGUGACUGGUAUACCGAUUCAGAUUAUGAAUUGGAGCAUGAUGUGUUUGAUGAUGCAGAGUUUGAUGAAAAUGUCAAUGGGGACCCAGAUGUUGUUCCAGAAUUUGAAGAAAUGGGAUAUGAAGGUUAUUGUUCAGAUGAGGUUUGUAAUUCAGAUGGGUUGGAGAGCUUAGCUGGCAGUGAUACUGAAGAAGAUGAGGAAGGGAACCCAAUCAAGAUGCCUACAAGGUUGGGUAAGAUGAAACUCUACCCUUAUAUUAGAUUUGUGGAGAUUAAAAAUCCAAGUUUUAGGCUAGGGCUUUUAUUUCCUAAUGUUGAGCAACUAAGAGAAGCUGUUAGGGAGUGUGCAAUUAGGAAUCAAAUAGGCAUGUGGUUUGAGAAAAAUACCAAGAAGAAGAUGCAGGUGAAAUGUCAAUGGGGCUGCCCUUUUUACAUGUUUGCAAGCAAUGUCAAGAGGUUUGGUCUAGAUAACAUGGUUGUCAAGACAUUGAAUCCCCAACACAUGUGCUCUCCUGUGGUAACAAGUCAUUUCUUGACUUAUAGAAGGGUAGCUGAGGAGGUAAAAGAGAGAUUGUUGGUGGAUGAGGACUGGUCUAGGAAGGGGAUGCACAAGCAUAUAGAGGACACCUAUAAGAUGGAUGUUCCCAUGCAGACGAUCACAAGGGGUAAGAGGGCAGCAAGGAAGAUGAUUGAAGGUCAUUACAUAGAGCAAUACAACAAGUUGGCUGCAUACAGAAAAGAGCUUUUAAGAAGCAAUCCUGGAUCCACUGUGGAGAUUAUGACAGAGAUGGAUGGACCAGUGAGAAGAGUCAAAAGGAUGUACAUAUGCUUCGAAGCUUGCAAAGAGGGGUGGAUGAAAGGAUGCAGACCUCUUGUAGGGCUGGAUGGAUGUCACAUCAAAGGGCACCAUCCUGAACAGCUUUUGACAGCAAUUGGCAUAGAUGCAAACAAUGGGAUCUUUCCGAUUGUAUAUGCUAUGGUUGAAAGAGAGAGCGAGGAAACCUGGACAUGGUUUCUUGAAUAUUUACAGCAAGAUGUAAAGAUUGAGAGAGAUAGCAGCUAUGUGUUUAUGACAGACAAACAAAAGGGAUUGGAUAAUGCACUCAAAGGUAACUAUUUUGUUCUCAAAAUUUUUUUGGUAACUAUUUUGUUCUCAAAAUUUUUGUCUAACCAACAUGCCAUUUGUUAUUGCACAGUUUUAUUUCCCAAUUCAGAGCAUCGACACUGUGUGAGGCAUCUCCACAACAAUUUUAAGCAAAAACACCCGGGAGAGGUCCUAAAACAGUUGAUGUGGAAUGCAGCUAGGAGCACCACCGUCCCUUGGUUUAACAAGCACAUGGAUGAAAUGAAGAUGGUAAAAGAGAAAGCAGUUGACUGGUUUGACGACAAGGAUCCAAACCAUUGGAGCAGAGCAUUCUUUAAGGAGGAAACCAAGUGUGACAUACUUCUCAACAAUUUGUGUGAGUCUUUUAACUCCUUCAUUUUACCUGCUAGGGAUAAGCCUAUUUUGGCUAUGUUAGAGAGGAUUAGGAUGGAUAUGAUGGUUAGGAUGCAAAUAGAAGGGUAGCUUGUGAGAAGUGGAAGGAUGUGGUUGGUCCAAGGAUUAAGAAGAUGUUAGAUAAGGUUGGACAANNNNNNNNNNNNNNNNNNNNCCAACAAGGACACAACAGGGCUGGAUGUCCUAUAACAAAGCCAAGAAGCAGCUGAAGCAGUAAGUGUCUAGUAAAGUCUCAACUUGUUUAUGAAUUUAAUAUGAAAUUUAUUUGUUUAUGAAUUUGUAUGUAUAAUUCUUGACUUGUUUUUCUUUUUCUUUUUGUUCAAACAGGGGGAAGGAACAUUUGCUGGUGGAGCAAGCACUAAGAAAAGAGUGAGAGCAAAGGUAUGUAUCUGGUGGUGAUUCUUGAUUGUUGAUUGUUCUUCUUAUUGUGAAGCCAACUAUUGCUAAAAUGCUUAGUUAAUUGUUGAAAAUAAUGUUGUUGUUGAAUUGUGUUGGAAUGUCUUGUUGAAAUGUGAAGCCAAAAAUGGUUGUUGAGUUGUGUUGGAAAUGUCUUGUUUGUGUUCCAAGGUCCAAAGGGCACCAGCCUCACCCAAGGAAUCAAGACCUAUCAAGGACCAGGUCAUAAAGUCUAAAAAAGGAUGGAAGAAAAUGAAGUUGGCAAUGGAGGCUAGUUCUGCUGGAAAUGAUAGUGGAUCAGCUUCAACACAGCCUCCUACUGAAAGCAGCCAAAAUCAUGCAGCAAGGGGUGAUACAAAGUGAAUGUGCUUGCUUUUAAAUUAGAUUGUGUCAUAAUGUGUAUUUCAUCAUGGUUUGGAAUCAAUUUUUUUCAAACAAUGUGGUUCCUUGAGUUUUUGGAAACCAAUUAAGCUUGAAUUAUGAUGCAUAGUAUGUUUCUCAUGUUGAUUUUGGUUUAAUUCAAUGAUAUUGGCAGCCCUUUUGGUCUAUGUUUGAAUUUCUAUGUUNNNNNNNNNNNNNNNNNNNNNNNNNNNNNNNNNNNNNNNNNNNNNNNNNNNNNNNNNNNNNNNNNNNNNNNNNNNNNNNNNNNNNNNNNNNNNNNNNNNNNNNNNNNNNNNNNNNNNNNNNNNNNNNNNNNNNNNNNNNNNNNNNNNNNNNNNNNNNNNNNNNNNNNNNNNNNNNNNNNNNNNNNNNNNNNNNNNNNNNNNNNNNNNNNNNNNNNNNNNNNNNNNNNNNNNNNNNNNNNNNNNNNNNNNNNNNNNNNNNNNNNNNNNNNNNNNNGUCAUUGCACAUUUUUUUUGGUGGGGCCAUGCCGGCCACGUCAGCAAACUAACGGCACAGUUACGGAAAUUGGCCUCCGGCCUUUCCUUGGUAGCGAAAUAGAAGUUUGGGUACCACAUUGAUAGUUUUUAAAGUAUGGGUACCACUUUGACCGUGCCACAAAAGUUGGGGUACCGGCGGUGCAUUUUCCUCAAAAGAAAAUAGUUAGUACAUAAGGUAUAGAGAAAAUAUUUAAAUAAUAAUAAUGUGUGACUUAGGGUUAUAAUCAUACUUUUCUAUGGGAAACAUCCAAGUAAAGUGUACUGGACCAGUAAAAAACACUUGUUCGGGAGAUGGAUCAUGAGGUGAACCAUGAUCGAAAAGAAAGUCAGGGGGAAGAUCCUCUCCAAUUUGCAUAGGAUGUAGAUAAUGUCUAAUUUCAUUUCAACAACAUCUUACUUCUUCAGCUCUCUACUGCAUAAUCUCUGCCAAAACUUGGGUAAGGCUACUAACGGCUCCACCACAUCACGAUGCAGAUAUGGUCUGAUUACCACGGGAAGAAGACGUUGCAAUAAAACAUGACAGUCAUGACUCUUCAAUCCAUGUAUCUUCUGUUCCGCCACCUUAACACAUUGAGCUAUAUUUCCUGCAUAUCCUUUAGGAUACUUAACAUCAUUGAACCAAUUGAAAACUUUAGGCUUGAAAGCAGGCUUCACCAAGUAAGGUGCAAUAGGCAUUUCCACUCUUGACAUCGUCCUUUUUACCCAUAAGUGACGCCAUAAGCCCAUCUUUUGCAAAUCGUCCCGCGCUUUGAUACUCUCGUUUGUCUUGUCUUUAAUGUCGAGAAUUGUUUCCACCACGCUGUCACAAAUAUUUUUUCCUAUGUGCAUGACAUUUAGGUUGUGUCUAAUUCUCAAAGUAGACCAGUAAGGUAAUUAAAAAAAAAUAUUCUUAUGAUGUCAAUUGUUAAGUGCAGCAAGACGCAUAGGAUUUUGGGCCAAGACAUCUUUAUCACUACUUAAAUAUCCAAAAUCGAAAGAGUUCAACUUGUCUAAAAUUUCAUCCCCAGACUGAAUAGGGGGUGGUUCACGACGCUCUUCCCUGCCAUCGAAUGCAUCUACAUCAAGCCGUCAUUCAUGCUUCAUUGGAAGCCAUCUACGGUGACCCAGGUAAACAAUCAUGUUCGCGUGACGACUAGCAUCGACGUUCUCUAAGCAAAUGGGACAAGCCUUGUACCCUUGAGUGGUAUGAGAAGAUAACAUACCGUAGCCUAGAAAGUCGUUAAUUGUCCACAUCACAACUGCUCUCAUCCUAAAUGAAGUUUUACUAUGUCUGUCAAAAGUGGGGAUUCCAUUUUCUCAUAAUCCUUUUAGCUCAUCAAUCAACGGUCUCAAAUACACAUCUAGACAUUUUCCCUGAGAAUUGGGACCUAGAAUUAACAAUGCCAGAAAAUUAUAUUUCUUCUUUAUACACAUCCACGGUGGUAAGUUGUACGACAUUAAAAUAACAGACCAAAUGCUAUGAGAUAGAGUCAUAUUGCCGCUAGGAUUGAACCCGUCUUUUGCUAGUCUGAGCCUUACAUUUCGAACGUCUUCCGUAAAAUCAGGAAAUGAUGCGUCAAAAGAUUUCCAAACCUCCCCAUCUGAGGGGUGUCUCAGAACACUGUCAUCUUCCCUAGGAAGACCGUGUCAUCUCAUCUCCUCUGUAGUCUCUAAUGACAAGUAGAGAUGCUGCAACGUACGUAGGAGUUAACGGGAAAUAACGAAGCACCUUCACAGGAACAAGUUUCCCUUUAUCUGAAGAAAACUCCUCAUCAUACCUCGGCCCAUUGCAAAUAGGACAGUAAAUAGCAUCCUUGUAAUCUCCGCAAAAUAGCACACAAUUAUUCUUGCAGGCGUGGAUCUUCACAUAAUCGAGGCCGAGGUCGCCCAUGAUCUUUUUUGUCUUAUAAUGACUCUCAGGAAGUCUAUUUACAAGAGGAAACACAGUUUUGAUAAACUUUGAAUAGUCUCCAUAAUGUCCAUUACUCGUUCUGUGCUUCACUUUCAAAUGCAUCUGUGACAUGAUGACACUCAAAACUGAAACUGGACACUCGUCAUACACUGGUGUUUGGGCUUACGCGAGAAGCCUGUUAUACUUCUCAUAAUCAAACAUGUCAACUGCCUCAUUGACAUUGGGGGCAUCAUCAUCAACUGCCUCUUCUUCAUAUCUUGAAGCAUACGGGAAAACAUCAUGUAGCAUAUUCAUAGUGGGGUACAUAGAAGGGUCGGCAGUACCACUAGAUGACCCAAUUUCAUGAAUGUAACUUGCUCGAAAUUCGGCUAGUGCAUGAUUAUUUUCCUCCACCUCACCGCGUUCCGUCCAUAUAGUAUAAUUCUUCCACAUACCAAAAUGUGACAAGUGUUGUUCCAUACCUUCACGUGUCUGCCAAUCGUCGCACAUACAUUUUCUACAUGGACACUUGUGCCACUCAGUUCCUAUGGCAACAUGGGGCAACAUAAUAAUCAACAAAAAGCAAAGAUUCCAUGUAUAUACAAGUGGUGACACCUGUCGUAUAACAUCCAACUUUUGUCCAUGUUUUGCAUCUGCUGUCAUAAGAGAAACAACAAAUUAACACCAAGUUAUAUAGCAACAAGUCAACAUUACUCAUACAAAUAUUCGUUUCUUCUUCACCUUAUGCCUCCGGUUAGGGUCCUAAUCCCAUUCAAGACAAUAAAACUUUAUUAAACAAUUUGCUGUUCUUGUGUUUCAAUUUCGAUGUGAUAAAAUUUCAGCAGCAUCUCCCUACAGUUCCCCAAGUGCAUGAAUAUCUAAGCCUAGUAUGCACUCGAGGAACAAUACAGGAGACUUUGUCGAAAUAUAUAUACCCACAAUCGAAACCAAAAACAAAAGAACUGCAAACCACAUAACAAAGUCUUAUUCUCCUAAACUGUCCAAAAAUGGUACAAUUCAAGAACCAUUUUGGUCUGUUGCCAAACCAAAAUCAUUCUCGAACGGGAUUUCUAAGGCUAAACGUGAAUGAAAGAAUUUAACCAUUCUUACAUUCAUCGCACUAAAAAAACAAAACAUCAUUCUUUGCAUAUAUAUAUAUAUAUAGACACACACACACACAACCAAUAUAACAUCAAUAGCAUGUUUUAUACCACCAGAAUUCUUCACCGGAAAAGUUACCGGAAAAACAUGAUCUGAACAUUUUCUUUUCUUUUUUGAAUAGGAGGAAACAUGGUCUAAACAAGGAGAAAUAACUUUAACAAACAACAUCAUCAUCAAACAAUAUUAGCAAUGUACAAAGGACCGAAAUCUAUUACCGGAAAACUCAUCUAAAAAUAUGGAACAUAAAUGGUGAAAAAAAGAGAGAAUGAGAUUAUACCAAGCUAUAAACUAGUGAUGAUCGAGUAGAGGUAGACAAAGCUUUAGAAGUCUGAAUUUGAUGAUUUGCGAAACUAACAUCGAAAAUCUCCUCAGUUUUGAGCUCCUCAAUUUUUUCCUUCUGUUUUAGAUUUAGGCAGUGAGGAAAGACAUAUAAAGUUGAAAACACUUAUGCGACGAAACUUUCGUCGUAUUAGUAAUAAAAUUCGUCUCAUAAGAAAUCGGUUAUGCAACAAAAAUCUUUUCUUCGUCGCCUAAGAUAAAACUUAAGAGAUGAAAAUAUUUCGUCUCUUCAGUUCAUUAUUUGUCUCUUAGGUCAAAUUGUUUGUCGCUUAAGCUAAACUUUUAUGCAACGAAAGUCUUUUAUUCGUCGUCUAAGAUAAAACUGAAGAGACAAAAAAUGUUUCGUCUCUUAAUUGCAGGCUUCGUCUCUUAGGUAAAUGUUCAUCGCUUAGGUAAAUAACUUAUGUGAUGGAAUAAUUUAUCGUCACAUAAGUUGUUACUAAAGCGACGAACAUGUUUUCGUAGCAUAAACUGUUACUUAAGAGACGAAAGUAAAUUUCUUCGUCGCAUAUGUCUUUUUCCUAGUAGUGCUUCUGAGCCUCUGUCGAACUAUUUCCAUGAUUUUGUGGUGAUGAGAGAGUUUGUCAUUUCGGCAAAUGACAUAUGGAUCAAUGCAUAUAUUACAGCUACUAGUGUUCAGAUAAGUUAGGGUUGAACCAACUACUUAAGUGUGGGAUCUUGAUGUACCUAGAAGGCGAGAUAUCAAAACGUAUUUCUCUACCUACACAGAUGGCCUUCUGCAUUAGAAUGGAAUCAAUACUUAUGACGUUGAAAGAUUAUGACAUUUUGAAAACAGCUUCUAUCCAUGCAUUGGUGGUUAGUUUGGGAUUUUGCUGUACCUAGAAGACUAGAUAUCACAACGUAUUUCUCUAUCUAAGCAGAUGUCCUACUGCAUUAGAAUGGUUUCAGUACUUAUUAUGACAUUGAAAGAUUAUGACAUUUUGAAAAACAUUUUUCUGACCAUGCAUUGGUGGCUGGUUUGGUAUAUCUUAAUUUCUUGUUCUUUCUGGUUGUAGCAAAGUUUUUUGCUUAUAAUGUUAGACAUCUCGGAAACCAAGAUAGAUGUGGAAGCUUGAUUUGCCAAAGAUAUAUGGCUAGCUUCAUAUAUUAAAGAUGUGAAGAUAGAUCUAGUUUAGCUCAAGAGAACCUUUUGCAUGCACCUUAAUGAAAUCCAUUAAUUCGAUCCUACUGCACAUGGUUUUUUUUUUUUCUUUUCAAAAUUGUUGAUCAGAGGUGAAAGAUGGUAUUGAUUCUAAAAAAAAAAAAGGUGAAAUAUGUUAUCAUCCUUAUGAUUGAAGGAUAGUAGUUAAAGGUAUUAGUAAUUGUCAGAACUCAUCCUGAAUUUCACCUUGAAAUCUGAAGUAAACCCUGCGGGGACCACCUCCAAAAGGAAUUUUAUCGAAAAUUCGACAUAACCUCCCUUGAAAAUAGAUAACCCUUCUUAAAAACACAUGCAAACACUUCUAAAAAUUCCAACUACAACCUUUUAAACUCUUGGAGCCUUCGUGCUCCCCAAAUUCACAACACCUCUCAAUUCAUUUACUAUUCUAAUAACAAUCUCAUAACCAACAGUUCAUAAGUUCAGAGCAAUUCUAAUAGUGAAGGGAAAGUAAAUAUAUGAAUAAGCGGAACAUAUAACUAUGUCUCGACUUCAUGUACGCUCGAUCUUAACUAUGCUAACUUACAAACUGGGCAUUUAAAACUGAAAGGCCCAGGGAAAAAGCAUUUGAAAACGUUAGAGUGGGUGGACAAAAAAUAAAGUUUAAAAGAAACAAGUAAUUGUAAAAGUCUCUAUGCUUUCCCAAAUUAAUAUCUUCAGGAAAACUGCGCUGCAUGCAAUAAAUAAUUAAACUUUUAACUUAAAAAUUGGCAAAUACUGCAAAAUGUGACUAGCCCCGCUAGUCUUCAAUACUUUAUAAUAUUGAGCCUUCCAGGCUCCAGUAUAUAAGUAUGUAUUUUCACAUGCUUCGUUUAUAUAAUGAGCGGAUUAAAGGUUUUUUUUUUUUUUUAAUUAAAAGGGAUUCUUUUUUAUAAGAGUGAGAUUUGGACACCCUUUUCCUUUUGUUGCAAUUCAUAUAUUUUUAUUGAAAUCAAAGAGUAAAUUUUUUUUGGGAAAAUUUUAACAAGAGUACAUGAUGUAUGAGUCACUGAGAAUUAAGGUCAAUAUACUUUACAAAACAUCACAAUGAUAUAUGAAGUUCAAAAUCCGACUCAACAUCUAUACAUACCGUCAAUUUGACCGUUAGUCUAUCUGAUUCUGUUAGUCUAUUUGAUUAAGGUUUUAUGAGGUUCUAGUAUGAAGAACGGCGCGGCAAAGUUGACGAUUCAAGGCUGAAAGCUUGGACUAUCAAUACGACAAGCAAGGGGAGACCGAACCAUGAAACUAAUCUGGGCACCCUUCUCAUCGUCUUCAAGCACAGACCUCGCAAGUGAUCUCGGAUCCGGAAUCAAAUCCAAAGCUAUAAUUGUCUCACCUCCCUCAUCAAAAAUCGAAUUGUCUUAAUCAUAGUUACUGAAUCAAGCCCGACUCUUCCAAAAUCUGGGUUUGCUCGGAGAGGGAGAAAUUAGGUCAUGGGUUGUCGGAGAGGAGAAAGAGAGGGAUCUUGGAAGGAGCGAGGAAGAGAGAAAUUGGGCAGUGGUCGCCAAAGAGGGAGAGAACUUGUGGGUCUCAGAUGGAGAGAGAUCAAGAGAAAGAUUGUGUGUAGAAAGACUAAAUUGCCCUUUCCAAAAUUGAUAAUGGCACAAGGGUUAAUGAUGUUAUUGACGGCAUGUACUAAAAAUGUAUAGGAUUAUCAACCUCAUGUACCAUUAUGAUGUUUUAUAAAGUUGAGUAACCUUAAUUCUCAAUGGCUCAUAUGUCAUGUACUCUUGUUAAAAUUUUCCUUUUUUUUUUUGAAAAUAUAAUAGAUAAUUUCAUUACGAGAAGUUUUAAAUACACAGUCUUUAUCUCUUAAUACACACUUCUUACUAAAUACACCACUUAUUUAUUUUUCUAUUUCAAUAUUUUGCUAAAUACACACCUACGAUACGAUUAUCAAGAAUACCUUUAAAUUUAUAUAAAUUAAACCAUGAUUUCCUAUUACUGUACGUAAUAUCAAAGAUUUGUAUUUUUUUUUAACAUGUUUUUCUCUAUAUAUGCUACACAUCAAACUUCAUUGCCCAUAAAUUACCCUAUCCAUUCCUCAAAUUCAUCUACUCUUUUUUGGAUCCCCUAGAAAAUAUAAAUUCUUAGGGCAUGUUUACUAACCUAGAAUGGAAUUGAGAGUGGUGUAAUUGAUUCAGGAAUGGGUGAAUUCCGGCGUUUACUAACAUGUCAAGGUAUUGGAAUGGAUGUGGGUCCCACUUGCUUAUCAGGAAUCGAUUCCUAAUUAAACAUCUUAUUCGAUACCCAAGGGGGGAGAUGGGUAUCAGAAUCAAGGUAAUGGAAUCAACUUUUUUUCCCAAAAUAUCCUCACAUAAUUAUAAUAUUUCUAAAUUACCUAACCCUAAAAAUAUAUAUAUAUAUUAUAUUUAAGGGGUAUUUUAAAUUCAUUUCUUGUAGGGGUAUUUUAGUAAUCAACUAGUUUUUAAUUCUGAUUCUAUAUAGUAAAUAAACAACAUCGAUCGUAAUUAAUUUCAUUCAUGUUUUGGUUCCUUAUUAUAAGUAAACAGUAGAAUGGUGUGAAAUUCUCUCAUACUGAUUGUUGUUGAUACCGAUUCAUGAUAAUUUUCAUUCCAAGUUAGUAAACGUGCCCUUUAAUGUUUGUGGUUCCUUGGUUGCAUGGAUUAGAGGGGUGGGGUUUAAUUGUUCCUUAGUUCUCUCGGUGAUAUAGAAUUGAUCAGUUAUCUUGAGUUUAGUUUUAGAAUUAGAUAGGUUAUUUAUACUGAAUGUCUUGCGAUUACAUGCAAAUUCUAACUUGAUUGGGAUUGAAAUCGAUGACUGCCAAUUUAGUUUUUGUUUCAAUUUUGGAUUUUCGAUAGGUUUCUCAAUAGGUUUGAAUGUUUGUGAAAUAUAGUUGAGGAACACUUUAUAAUUUUUUCUUUUCCAAUAAUAAGCAUAUAUAUGGAUGUUUUGGUCAUUUAACGUAGUUAAAAAUCAUGAUUUAAAAUAUAAAAUAAAAGAUGUGUGUAUUAAAAGAUUUAAGAUGUAUAUAUAAAAUUACUCUUUCAUUACUUAUACAUGGCUAGAAAACACUUACAACAUUCACCGUCUUGCGUCAAAGUGCUCUAACAGCAGCAAUUGACAUAUACACUCACUGAAAACAAGUUUAGCUCAAUUAUUUCAAGGAGUAAUAUAUCGCCUCAUUAAUUGUUUAUAUACUUAAUUCUUGUUAUUCUGGCUAAACCUUUUAGGAAUUUCGAUAGUAGACAUCUAAUUUUUAUUUAAAAUUUUAAUUUAUUCAAGUUUCAUUUGAAGGAUCUCCCACACUUGUGGCCUACCGAUACCCGCUCAUCAAACAAUGUACGAGUUCUAUUAAAAAGAAAAUAAUGUACGAGUUAGAAGAUGAUUAAUGAUGAUGAUCAUCUAGUUUCUUGACCUUAGUCACCCAGGUGACCCAAAAGCGCCUUGAAUUGCUAAUCGAGGAGGAGCUAGUGCUAGCAAGGUUUCAGACAAGACACACCGCUGUGAAUUUACUUUGCAUCUACCUUCGAUGUCACCCCCUUCAUAGCUACUACUUUUGUUGAAAUUACAUGUUCAUGAUCAUAUUAGUACUUGAUCUGACUAGUCUUACGAAUUCUUUUAGCUAAUAGAGUACUUAAGAGCCAGAUUAUGAUUUUGUAGACUUUAGAAGGAUAGAUCUGAUUCAACUUUGUGGCAUGCAUGAGAGAAGUUGGACUCUUGGGGUUAAAGAUGUUAGUAGCUCUACUAGAAAUUCCAGGGUUUUGAUCCUUAGAUUCCUGGUUAAGAGAAUCUCAGGCUAGAUAUCCUAUCUAAAGUUUAUUUGUAUCCAGCUACGAAUUGAUCCUAUUUAAGCUAACUAAUGAUGAUGGAAUGCAGGAACGGUAUGAAGCAAAAUAGUCUUAUGAGAUGUAUCAGUAAUAGGGAAAAAGGGCAAAAACAAAAACAAAACAUAUUUGUGUACAUGAACCGGAAAGUACCAUUCAUUCAUGAUUGAGCUCAAUCCCAUUUUGGGCGGCCUCAAUUUUCCUACUUAGAAAUCAAAACAUGACUUGAAAUAAAGUAUGUAGUUUCACAUUUUCACUACAAAGUAUGAACUCUCAUCGUGUUGCUGAGAGCUCCGAGACAAUCUCAUCAAGUUCUUAGAAGGAUGUCUCAUCAAGGAGGGGAACCAAAAGAUAAGUGAAGGAAACUCAAAAGCUUCGCAGUGGAACAACGGAGUCACAGUUGUGGAUGUCCAUGCAUAAUGAGAACUUGCCAUUCCAGGAAGACGACUUCUGAAUUGUUUGUUUUCCCUUUGGUAAAGAUGCCCCUCUUGAGGAACUACCUUUCUGUCUUGACAAUUUCUGAUCUCCCCCAACCCUCUUGGCAACACUUGCAACCCCCCUGUUUGAUUUAUCCACUGCAACAACAUUAGAAACCGCAAGACUAAUCUUCAAAGCUGAUGCAGAAUCCAUGGAAACCGAUCUUCUUCUUGCCUCCUCCACACCAUAAUCCACCUCCUCCUCGUUGACACAGAUUUGUUUGUUAACGAUAUCAUCUUCCCCUACUUCAGUAGUCCUAAUAAUCCCAUCACACAAUUCAUCUUCAACUCCUCCAGUACUAGUACCAGACUCACCUGUAUUUUCUAGAACCUCAACCGGGGUUUCUUCCUCUGCAGGCUCACUUGAGUCAGCUGCAACAUUUGGCUGCGGUGGUGCCACAUCUGUUGCGCCGGUUUUGAUAAUGGGAGCUCGGCACAAGGGGCAAUUGGUAUGAGAUGUAAGCCAAGUAUCGAUACAGGGAAUAUGAAAAGCAUGAUCACACUUGGGCAAAAGUCUCAAAGUCUCAUCUUCUUGGAACUCACUCAAGCACACAGCGCACUCUGUACCUUCAACAAGGCCAUCGCCUUUCUUGUACUGGCACACGCUGAUGGAGCUGAUAAGCGAUUGUUCCAGGCCGACGGUGCGGAUGUACCAUAUGGGGUGAUCAACCACAGGUCCAUGCUCUUCAUCGAUAAACAACUCAGCCUGAUUAUCAUGACGAUGAAGAGUCUCCUCCUCCUGUUGAGGUUGUGGUUGUGGUUGAGGUUGUGAUGAUCUUCUGUUUUUGUAGUACUUUACAUAGAGAAAAUAGCCACAAAUAACAAGCAAAGCGAUUGCAGCCAACGCCGAUCCGACCACUAUGAAGGUUUUGGAUUUAGGAUGUUUACAUGGGCAGCGAUAAGGUAUAGUAGUACCCUUGCAUAUGCAGAGUGUUUCCUGACUUUCCUCAAACAACUUUCUGUGUUUAAAUCCCAUAGCUCUGUAACUAGGGGCAGAGAUGGAGCUAGGCUGUUCAGCUGCAGCAGAGAACAAACAAAGAAGCCAGAGAGAGAGAGAGAGAGAGAGAGAGAGAGAGAGAGAGAUGGAGUGGAAGAGAGGUUCCUGGAUGGUGAAGAGGAAGAGACGUGCGUGGAACAAGGGGUUAAGGUUGAAUUCAAACUGGUUGCUUUGUCAAAAGUUUUGUUCGUUGAAUAUUAAGAAUGAAUGGACACUAUGGAACACGUUAAAGCUACCCAGCUCGAGCUUUUUAAUUAUAAUUAGCUGAUACUUCAAACUCAAUUUUUCUUCUUCUUUUUUGUUUUUUUUUCAAUAGUAAAUAUUAUUUUUCCCAAUCUGAGAAUAGAGUAGUACUUUCUUUGCUGUGAGAAUAUAGUAAUUCCUAGGUGUGAAUUGAAGCUUUUGGAUUUGGUAAAAUGGUGGUCAAGGGAAGCAGGUAAUGAAUUUAUAUUUAUAUUUUUUAAUAACCCACCCAUGACUCAACAUGUCCGAUGACUUAAUUUAACAUCUUGUUUGCUUCUCAUAUAAUUUGAUUAUUCGACAUGAAAGAAGAAAAUUCGUAAUUUUUGUUUAUGGUUUAACUUCAUCAAUUUGUUUUAUUAGCAGAAAAUGGGCAGUUUGACUUGACUUAGUAGCAGCCGCUGGGAAUUUAGUUGGACAAUGCUUGGAUAUUUCGUGCUUGAAAUUUUUGUACUGUCCUGAUAUAAGCUUCCCUAGAAAGGUAGAGGAUGAGCUUGACUAAAAAGGGAGCUGUGCUGCAAAUGUGAGACUAAUAGCCAAACCUAUCUCCCAGAGUGCUUAUAAGUUCAUACUGGAGGCGUUAAAGAGUAGAUGGACGGAAAGGGACCCUGGCAAUUGACUGAGCUUGAAAGAUUGGUUUCUAUAUUUAUUGUGUCUAAUACACAUAUAAGACCAAUAUAUUUUGAUCCUAGACAUUUGCUUGUGAAGCUCCUUGUUUAAGACUGAUAUUUAAGCUAGCUAAUUGUGUAGCUACCAUCUUGGUUAGUACAGUUUCAGUCAGCCUAAAACUGAUUCCCCAAACACUACCCCCCAUAAAAGUACUGCAUGCCAUUGAAACUGAUGGAAUGAGUAGUAUCAAUCUCUAGAUGAAGGAUAAAUAAAUUCAUCCUAAAACAACUUCUAGCGUAUUCGACUGAGAAGAUAACAUUUUUCAAGAAUUUUAACCAAGUAUUAUUAGCAAACUCUACAUAAACCUCUAACAUUCAACUCGGAAUUGUGCUAGUACAAUCGACAAACUGGCCACUUAAUUACCAGCCAUGAUAACCAAACAACUUACAUUUCAUUUGCAAAGGAGUAAUUCCAUUUGUACAUGAAUGUUAACUACAGGGUAGACAAAGCACAAACAAAUAAUAAAUAUUAUGCAAUAGCAAACUAAAGUUACAUGGAGGGAAAAGAGCGAGAAAGACACAGGAACGGGAAAAAUGAUUAACAGACAACAGACAACACAUCUACACUGCUUCAUUCUUAUACCUCUCCUAGUGCUUUUUUGAUGUCAGCCUGUGUAAAGGGGAACAAUGACUACUUUUAGUGACAAGAAGAGCAAUCUUUGUGUGUGUGUGCGCGCACGCGCGUGUGUAAGAGAGAAAGACAGAAAGAGACCUCAAUACUCAAGGGAGAGGUGGUUGGGCUGUAACGUCCGAUGACAAUGCCAUCCUUGUUAACUAAGAACUUAGUGAAGUUCCACUUUAUCCUACUCCCCAAAAAUCCAGGUUUACUUGCUUUGAGGAAUUUGUACACAGGUUCUGUGUUUGGCCCAUUCACACGUAUCUAGAUACCAAAAUUAUAGAAACUGCAGGUUAACUAGUGAAAAUACAACUGCAGAUUGCAUAAAUAGCACAAAAAUCUUAAUCUAAAUCCUUCACCGGGAAUGCAAUCAACAGGAUGAACAGCCAUUAUAUAUAUGGCCUAAUGCAAAGCACAUUCGUGGAAGGUAAAAUAUACUAAUCAACAAUCAACUCCACUACUUUCUACAGGAAGUGAGGAAACUGACUUCGCACUGCUGGAGUUCCUUUACUUACUUUGUUUAACAUUGGUUUUGUAUACUGAGGGUUCUAAUAGUAUUAACAUUUUCAUCUAUCUACCUCAAACAAAUAUAUUUGGUGACCUUAAGGAUUUUGAAACCUUGUAAAACAUUUCCCAUUAAGUAACCACUUCAGCGAUGAAAUGUUAUAGUUGGUAAGAAUACACCCUAUUAUAUAUCAUUACAACUGACAUCCCCAAUUAAGUCUUCUCCGUAUACAAAACUUAAACCUAGAACUUCCCAACUCAGCUUCCUUCUAAUUGGCUUUGGCAGAUGAGCAGGAUGAGCUAUAGCACUCAAGUUCAAGUGCAUGCAGACAAAAGUUUCUAAGUACUACAGAACUAAGUAAGAAAAACUGAAAAAGAAUUGUUCCAGAAGCUGAAAGAGUUUGGUAUUAUGUUCAAGCCAUGGUCUCAUAAGCGUAAUAGCAUGAAUACCACAUUUUAGACUACAGUAUUGAGGGAAUAGGUAGCUUAAGUGAAACACAGGCAAUUAAUUAUGCCAAAAGGCCAAACCUACACCAGAAUUCUUCUCUCAAGCUAAAACAAAAACAAGGAAUGUCACCCUAAAUGAUUAAGAGAACUCAAACCAUAUUUCCAGUUACUAAAAAUGCCUUAUGCAGAAAGCCUGUGAGAACACGUGCCUCUUUUAAAAUGGUAAGUGCCAAGAAACCAACUCUCUGGAAGGAUACCUAGCUUAUAUAUUAUGCAAAGACUAUCACUACCAGACCUAGUCUCUACAUUCCAACUGGUAGUACGCAAUAGAUAGAGCUGAGCAAGUGAGGACUCUAGUAAGCUCCUCAAGAAGCAAUUUUUAAGGUACACAGAAAACUAUUUUCAGAGUGCAAACACCAAAGUAAUAUUACAUGACUACUCAUUUUCUUAAAAGCAAAUGAACAAGCAUGAAGCACCAGAUAGGGUGAAAUAUAUGACUAGAUGAUAAAUAUGAUAGAGUGAAAUAUAUCAAACUACCUUCUUGAAGAUCGGAUAUUCAGCCUUGUACCUUGUACAUGCAAAUUCAACCGCAUCCGUGCUUGUUCCAGGCUCUUGCUUCAGAAACUGAUUGCAUGGAAACGCCAGGACCUCAAAACCUGAAGACAACAGUUUAAGCCAAAUCAAAGACAAAACAAGGGUAACAUUUAUUUUGCAGUUAAUGAGCAGAUUAUAUCACCCAAGUCAUAGUACAAGGACGCUAUGGUGAGAAAAUUCCAACAGUAUAAGAAUUGGCAAUGGCAACAACAACAAGAUAUAACAAGUAGCUACUAAAAUAUUUAUAGAACCUGAGCAGCAAACUAUUCUAGUCCUUGGGUUUUGAAUUUCCCUGUUAAUAGUUUGAUCACUAGUUUUGAAGUGCUUAAUUACUAGCAAUCAACUCAGGAAACACAUUAUAGAACUACCUGAAACAAAAAACAAAACAAAAAUAGAAAUCAGAGGGAAAAGAAGGAACCUUUGUCCUUGUAUUUGCCGUAGAGCUCAGUCAGCUGUGUGUAAUUCGUAUCUGUAAAACCGCUGUUUGCGAAAGAAAACAAGAUCACAAUCAAUCACUGAUUAAUUUUGAUCGAAAUUGGAUAAGGAAGAAGGGGAAGAAGAAGAAGACGAACCAUUUGGAAGCGACGUUGACGACCAGGAGGACCUUCCCUUUGUAAAUGCUGAGGUCGACGUCAUUGCCUUUGGUGUCCUGCAAACACCAAAACGCAGCGUUUCACUGAAUCAAUUGAAGAAGAAGAAGAGGGCAUUGGAUUUGAGAAUUGGGGGUCUUAUUUAUUACCUUGACAAUGAAUUCGUGGAUUGAUUGCUCGGUGAGGCACGACUGCGUAGCACCCAUCACUGCGAUUUGCAAUUUCCAGAGAGGGACAAGUUUCUCUCAAUUUAAAGGUUCGACGAAAAUGAAAGUCUUUGAAUGCGCGGGGAGCUGGCGGUGGGUCCAGCGAGCCCUAUUUAGGGACGACGAUACAUUCCUGCACAUUCUAUGCUAGUGAAACGUUUUUCAUUUAUCAACUUUUACCUUUGAACAAGGGUGUUAUUGCAAAACAAAAUCAUGUUUACUUAUUUGGAAAUGUUUCUACUUUCUAGCUAUGAUAACAAUCAGUAUUUUUCUUAAAAUUGGAGGCUAGUUAUUUUAUUGAUUAAUCUCCGAUUAUAAAUUAAGAUGUGUCUAUAUAAAUGAUAUAAUUGUGAUCAGAUUUAUACGAAUGAAUUAAAUAUCUAUAUUUUUAGAGUUUGGACCUAUGAUUGAGAAUCCUAAUCACACAAGGAACAAUGACACAUGAAAGUUGGCAAAGAAAGAAAUCAAGGAUAUGGGUCGAUUUGAGGGAGUUGGUAUGUAGUAGUUGGUAAUUGAGAAUCAAUUUAUGAUAUGCCACAUGAUUAUCGGGGUGGUUCAACUUGUCAACUACCUCAGCCGUUUUGCAGUAAAGCAUGUUCAUGUUCUAUAGGUUCUAUCUUAUAGAACAUGCUCAGCCAUGCCACUGUGAUUUCCAGUGCCCGCAACAUACUGGUAGGAUAGUCUGUAAUCUCAAGUCCUAAUUUGGAAACGGAAAAGGCAAUGUUCAUGUGUGGCAACUGGCAAGCAUGAAGGUCACUAGGUAGCUAUGACCUUUCAAAGUUAUGAAAUCAAACUUUGGAGAAAAAGAGAACUUCAGAUUUAGCGUCUCUGUCGAUAAAACUCAAAGAAAGUAAACUUCUCUCUCGAUGUUGUCACUGUGACACAAUGGCGCCCUGGCUUCCGUUUGGCAACAAUGAGUUUUGCAGAUUAUGACCGUCUUGGUGAAAGUGCAUGCUCUUCAUUUGUCUCAAAUGAGCUCAACUCAUUGCGUCUCAUCUAAGGAUGGUCAGGGGGUGUUGAUGCCCAAGUUCAACUAUAUAGUCUGCUCGGAAGAAGAGGCUCUGAUUGUUUUUUGGUCCAGGAGAAGAGGCUGAUGAGCUGCUAGACUAAUUCUCUUAAGAAGCUGAAGGACACGGUUUGUGCAAAGAAGGAAUCAACCACGACCAGAAAGAAACGGUGAUCUCACCUCUGUCCUGAAAAAGACCGACUCAUCUGGAUAAGGAGACUAAUCUCCAAUUUUACCCGUUCCCUUUUCUGUGUUUUUUAGCUUCAUCUAUUAGUUAGUUCCAUGGUAGAGACUUGCUCUCAGGAGCAAGACUACCACAUUAUUUCAGGAAGUUAUUGUUUCUGGAAAAACCAGACCUACAAAGAAAAAGAAAAACAAACAAAAGCAGUAACAAAAACAAAAAACAAGAAAUCAAAUUUAAAGAUCAUACAUUUGGGAGCAAAACAAUUGCAGUAAGAGACCUAUUUCAACUUGAGGAGCUAAUUCUAGGCUACACUGACUGCAUUAUACCAUCAAUUCAAAUAUCCAAGUGAUGGUUUGGCAUCUUCAAAUAUGAAGGGAUCGUUGAGGAGAAAACAUAUGCAAAUAUAAGUCAACUGAAGAACAUAUGUUCUAACAAAUCUUUAAUGCACAAGUUGGCAAAGAAAAAGUAAAUUUUAAGAUAUGGCAAAGAAAAACUAAAUUUUUAAGAUAUGGCAAAGAAAAAGUAAGAUACAAUGCCAACCUAGGAUUAGUCACGGCUCUCAAUCAUCUCUACAAUGACCGUCUCCCUGUCUGCCUUUUGCAGCAGGAAGGGUAAAAUACAUAUGUACAAAUCUGAGGCCAUUAUUCCACUGGUCUUUCUCUGUUCCUUGGCCCUCUUCUAGAGGUCUAUACCUCAAAGCAUGAAGAACAAUGGCAAAGGCGAAAUGAACAGAACUCUUGAAAAGCAGCAGAAGCAAAGAUCAAAAAUGGAUUAUGCUCAUACCUAAGAAUUUUGGACCCCUUGUAGUAUUAGCAAAGUAAGACUAUUAUAGAACUGUUGAUCAAUAGAAACUGUCAUGCAGUAAAGACCCCAGUCCUGACAGUUUGCUACAUUUUGCUCAUCUAGGCCGCCAAAAUCCUGGACCU
rnacentral:lncRNA from 1 species